GCACACAAGAAGUAUGAACCAUUUUUGAAUAAAAGCAUUGAUCAUUAUGAUGAAAUGGCUUUGAUUGUUGGCAAAGAUAUGGCAACAGGGAGUUUUGCCAGAACAUUUGCUGACAUAGAUUUGGAUGAUGAUAACCAAGAUUUAGUGCCUAUAGACUGCGAGAAUGAAGUGACUGAAGAGGUAAGAACAAAUGUAUCUUCAUCUGGCACAUCCAAACGUAAAAGAAAAAAGGCUCAAGAAAGUGUCAUUGAUGAACAAAUUAAAUUUGUGGGUGAACAACUUGGCAAAAUUACUAAUGCUUUGGAACAAUUUACUGCGGAUAAGACACCACAUCUUUAUGAAGAAGUGAUGUCAAUGGAGGUAGAAGGAUUUGAUGAUGACUUCCUGUGUUCUGUGUUUGAUUAUCUAGUGAGUCAUGAAUCUGAGGCAAAAGCUUUUUUAGUUAAAAGUAAGAAGCAUAGAAAAAUUUGGCAUCAAAAAUUUUCUCAAGGUUGAAGAUAUUGAUACUUUUAAUGUGGUGAUAUUAGUUAUGCACUUGGACAAUGUUGCUGUUAUCAUAUGGUGUAAUAUUAGUUACCAUGUGUUGUAAUAUUAGUUAUGCACUUGGAUAAUGUUGUUAUCAUGUGGUGUAAUACUAAUUAUGCAUUUGGAUAAUAUUAUUAAUUUCUAGUAUUAAUUAUGGUUUAGAAGCUAAUUUAUAAUUAUUCAAUCCUAGUUUUUUAUUUUUUUAUAACACAAUUACAAAUAAUUUAUUUUACUUUGGUUGUUUUCAAUUUAUGAUGGUUAAUAUUCUAGUUUAAUAAUUGAGUAUUAUUAUAUAUUUAAAAUGAUUUAUAUAUUUAUAAAUAAAUCAUUGCAAUACAUGUAAAAACAAUUUAAAAUAUAAAUUUAUUAAUAUAUAUAUAUAAUAAACUCAAUCAAACAAAGAAAAGAUAAUAAAUUCUUAAAUAUAUAAAUUUCUUAAAACAGCUUUUCAUGAAAAUAUUUUCAGGAAAUCUGUCAAACAACAAAAAAUAUUUUACACAGAUUCAUUCAAACACCAGAAAAGUAAAUCAUUUUCUAGAAACUAUUUUCCGGAAAAUAUUUUACUGGCAAACAAACGGAGCCUUAAAUGAAAAUCUAUUUCAAAAAAAUAAAACUGUGAAAAUAAUUUGGUAACUAUUGUUUUCAUAGGAGGAACUAUAAAUAAGUAGUAAUUAAAACAAAUUAUAUGUUUCAGAUAAUAACUAAUAUAAUAACAUAAAUUUAAUUUAAUUUAAUUAAACAUAAGUGGUAGCGUAAAACAUAAAACAAAAUUUAUUGUUAAUAAUAAAAUAAAAUAAAACCUUCAAAAAAAUAAAAUAAAAAAAUUUCUAUUGUUCGUUAAAAAAAAUAUAUUGCUAAAAAGAUUGUUAAACCAUUUGGAAAAAAAAAAUUGCGUUUAUAUAGAUUUCAGCGAGGAUAAGAGUUAAAAAAUUAUUGUUUUCAAUUUUUUUUCAAGAAUAAUUUUAGUGUACAAUGAAAACAAUAUUUUUCAAAAAUAAUAUUGAGGAAGGGGAUAAUAGGGUUUGAAUCAAUGAUGUUUGAAUUGGAAUGGAUUGGUCGGGAUAUCAGUUUGGAAAAUGGUGUUAGACUGAUUGAAUUGCGAACUGGUAUGGACUAGUUGAACUAAUUAAAAAAACUAGCUGAAUUGACAAUUGAAUUUGUAACCUCACUAACUUGGCCUAGACUGUAGACUCGAGUCGAGUAGAUUACAUUAAUCACCUAAGUGGCUCGCUCAUUUUUAAUUCAAAUUUUUGAUUCUAAACCUGUUUUAUUCAAGUGAAUCUUCAACAAGAUUAUCAAGAAUGUAGCAGUGGGAAUUUAUUAACAUACCCUUAAAAUAAAUAAACAUGUUUCAUAUUAGGCAUAUGUACAAUUAAGAUCUAUACUGAAAUUCAUCUGUAAAACCCUAAUAAUAUUUAUAAGUAACAGUUCAUCUAAUUAUAAGAUGUCCUAAUAACUCAUAUUAUGCAUCCUAAAUGAACAACUUCUAAAACCUAUAUCCCAAUCAUGGAAUCCAUAAAUAAUAACGACAAUAAUUAUAAGGAUAUAAAUAAUAAUAAUAAUAAUAAUAGCAUUCUUUAGACCACAACAAGCUGAGACCCUCCAUGCAUUGAGUCUGCGUCCUAGAAUAUUGGAUUAUCUGAAAAGAUAGAAAAUAGGGGAGUUAGCUUAACAGGCUCAGUAGGAGACCCUUUAAAAUAAAUCUCAUCAAUAUUCAAAAUGCAUGUCAAUCAUAAUAAUUAUAUUUAUAUAAAAAUUCUGAUAAUACAAUAAAUCAGUUUUUAUUACUCAUAGAACAAUCAACAUUCAAACGAAUUCAAUUGAGUAACACAAUUAUACGUAGUAUCAUUCACAAUGCACACUUAUCAAUUCGGACGAAUCAUCAUAUACUUUCCAACGAGAAUGCAUUGUUUGCCAUUUAACAGUCGUACAACAUAUCAAAUAGCCUUCGGAAAUCCUAUCCUCGACCACUAGCACACCAAAUAGGGAGUUCCUUAGAACCCCCUCUACCUUUUCACACACUUAUACAUAUGGAUGCAGACAAGCUGUCGUAUGGUUGAGGUUACACAACCCCUCACAGAUAAAAGCUUUCAGAGAAAGUUAUGGUUACUCCAUAUAAAGGUCACAAUUGGAAUAUGCUAAUCUAUGAAUUCACAACGGACAAGCAUAUAUGCAAUAUAAACUGUCGUAUCUUCCUCCUUUCAUAAUUCCCCCAUGCAUAUGCAACAUAAUCAGAUCAUAUAGUUUGAUCAUUCAGUGAUUGUUUAGUAUUUCAUCUUAUAGUAGAAACAAAUCGAUGAGCGAAACAUUUACUUGGCAUAUACAUAUAUCAUUCAGUAUAUAUAUAAAGUCAUUCAAAGAUUUAAAUAAUCAUUCAUAAACAUUCAUAUACCUUUGAUAAUCAUGAUAUCAUUCGUGAAUUUAUAGCAUUAAUCAUAAAUAUAUAAAUCAUAAAAUCAGUCAUCCAUGUGUUUGUCCAUUCUAUCCUAAUCCGAGACCUAAUUUCAUAGUCUAGUUCUCUAAAUGCUAUUAAAAACCUAAUCAGGGAUUGAAUUGCAUAAAAUAAAUAAAGAUUAGAAGGGGUUUUCAAGAUUUGAAGGGGUUUUCGACAAAAGCAAUAAAGUUUCAAUAACGAGUGUCGUCACCUAAAAUUGAAAAGUCUUAAUUGGCAAGGAAUAGAAUACUUAAUGAUUUUGACAGGAUUUUGACAAGUUAUUGACACAAGAUUCAAGGAUUUUGAUGAAGACAAUGGAUUUGGGCUUGAUUGCAAAGAUUAAAGAGUUCAAGGAAAUUUCCAGCGUCAAGGUUUUGGAGAAUAAGAUUGUAACAAAGGGUUUUCUUGCAAAUAUGUGAAGAUGAGUGUAAACACUCAAUUUUGCCCGAGCCCAGAAAUAAGUCCAAAAACAAAAAUAAUAAACCCCAAAAAAACGAAGUCCAAGUUCAGUCCAGAAUUACAAAUAAAUUUGGCCCGAUCGGAAUGGCCCAUUACUUGAAAAGAUUUAAGGUCCAUCUACAAGCUUGACUCAUAUGGAAAUAUAAUCUUCAAUUAUAUGCAAUCUUAGAAGAUAUGAUUUUGUAAUCUUAGAGAUUUAAUUUGUAGAUACCUUUUAAGCUUAACUGUUGAUGUAAUUGAUCUGUACCAUUGGAUUUGAGGAGGUUCAACUAUAAAUAGAGGCCUCUCCCUUUAUUGUAAAGACAUUGGAGUUUUGGGAAACAAUAAAAAAUUUUUAGAGCUUUCACUCAAAUUUCUCUCCCUCUUAUGUUCUUAUUUUCUACGGUUUGUUCUUAUUUUAUUCUUUGUUCAUCUUCAUUUUUCAACCCUUUUUAUUUUGAUUUAAUCCAUGUUUCCCUGAUUUUUUUUAUAUAUUUUAAUUUUUUAAUAAUUUUAGUAUCAUAUCAAACUUUUUCAUUUUUUAAUAAUUUUUUUUAGUAUUACUCUUAGUAAAUUAUUUUUUAAAUUUUACUCAAAUAAUUAUUUUAAAAAAAAUAUUUCAUUUAAUUGUCAUAUUUUAUCCAAAAGUUUUUCUAAAAUGAGGCAAUGUUUUCUGUAUUUAGGAAUUCGGGAAAUAGUGCCCUAACAUGCUGGGUUGCGAUUUCCCGUUUGUCUAAAUGCCUAAAGUAUCCUUCUAAAUAGAUUUUGUAAAUCACGAGAUGAUUUCAGUUACGAGAGUUUAAGAAUAUAGUGUCCUAUCAUGCUGGAUGUGAUGUUUGUAUUCUUUCGGAGCUAAGGAAUCUCGAUUUUUCAACUUAAAUAAUUCUGGUUUUAAAAAAAGGAUCCUAUUUUUAAAUCCUUUCAAAUUUUUUACAUUAAGACAGAAAACUAUUCAAUUUGGUACCAAUUUUGGGCGUUGAAAGGGUGCUAAUCCUUCCUCGUACGUAACCGACUUCCGAACCUGUUUUCUUAAUUUUCGUAGACCAAAACGUUUUAUAAGGUGAUCCAAUCACACCUAAAAAGGUUGGUGGCGACUCCCGUUUUUGUUUUUCAAAAGUCGAUUCCCAUUUUUCAAGCAUCCCUUUAAAAAAUGGUUUUGACAGCUUGGCGACUCCACUGGGGACUUAAGAGAGUCAAGCCAAGAAAUUGAGUAUUUUCUGUCUUAAUGUCGGAAGUUUGGAAAUUUUAAAAUUGGAUCCUUUACAUGUGUUUGCUGCAUAUGUUUGUUACCUUAUUGCUGUAUAUUGCAUUUGUAUAACAGUUGUGGUCACACCCUUAAGUGAGAGUGAGAAGCUACACUUUCGUAAGGUUUUCACCUUCAUAUAAGCUAGUGGAUUGCUUCCGGGAUACUGUACCUAUGUCUUCGUGAGAUUUUCAUCUCCGUAUGGCCGUAGGGAAACGUGUCCCCCUGAAUUGAACUUGGUCUAUAUGAGCCUAUAAUAGGUGAAGACCAAGGAAUUUGCUGGUUCAGGUACCCUGGCUUUAGAGCUAAAACUCAUAUAGUGAACUUUAAAGAGUUUAGGAAAGAUAGUGAUAGCCUUUAGUAAGCUACCCUUGUAAGUACUUGUUUAUCAUUUUUUUUAUGAUACUGACCUAUUUUUAUUUUGCUGUCAUUACAUGUCAUUUGGCAUUUAAAGUUGUCGAUUCACGGCUCGAUUUCUAGAUUAGAAAGUUUUGUAAUGAGGAAUGAAUACCUUAAUAGAGUGGAGGACAAUGCUUCUAUCUGUACCUAGUCAGAGAAAACCCAGUUAGAGAAAGGAGAUAGUGUCACUGAGGGAUAUACGUCAGAGUUAUGGGACUUCACCCGUAUUAAUUCGACGCAGAAUAAGUUUCAGGAGCUGAGAAACAUUUGGGCCCAAUGGGAUGACGAGGCUAAACAGCUUUUCUAUCAGAAUUAUGGAGACCUUCCCUAUUUGCUAGACGUCAAAGUAGAUAGGCACUUGUUUCGAGCUAUGGUACAGUUUUGGAAUCCUGCUUAUAGUUGUUUUACAUUUUGUGGUGUUGAUCUUGCACCUACUUUGGAGGAGUGUACAACUUUAUUGCGUUGAGGAUUCAGGGUCACAAGGCUUAUGUUAGGCCUGCUAGUCUUCCAACUUUUGCAAAGAAGUUGGUGAUGAUUACUGGGAUGAGUGAGCAGUGGGCUGUAGCUCGUAUACAGCAAAAGGGUGAUAGUAAGUGCGUUCCAUGGGCCGUUUUGACGGAUUUGAUAUCGACACAUCCAGACGUAAAGAAAAGGGUCGACGUCCUGGCUUUGAGUAUUUAUGGCAUGGUGAUUUUCCCAAAGGCAUUGGGACACAUAGAUGAGGCAGUUGUGGAUUUGUUCGAUCGCGUUGGUAAGCAGAAUACACUGGUACCAGCAAUCCUAGUUGAGACAUUUAGAUCUUCGAGUGUAUGUCGGAGAGCCGGCGAAGGUAGAUUCAUUGGAUAUGCACAGUUGUUGUUGGUUUGGUUCCACAGUCAUUUUUGGAAGCUUGAUAAGGUUCCUUGCCGAGUAUUCUUUGAGGGUUAUUCUCCCUUAAAAGAAGCAGUAGACAUGCCGAGGAGAGAUAACAUUUUAGAGGAGAGGUGGAUAGACAUUCUUCAGAAUCUUCAAGAGGAAGAUGUUAUGUGAAAGGCUCCUUGGUUAGUUCCUAGUGAAAUCCUUUACCGCUGUGGCAGUUUUGAUUGGGUCCCUUCGCCAGGAAUUUGGGGAGUUGUUGGAUAUGCACCAUUGCUUGUUCUAAGGCAAUAUAGAGCGAGGCAGUUCAUACCGAUUACACAGGGUCUAGCUCAAAGUAAUUUCUCUUAUAAAAGAGAUCACUAUAAGAAGAAGAUGCGAGAGAUUUCUAAGGCUUGGAAGAAGCCUUUCUGUAUGAAGAUCUUGACCGAAGGCUCAACGUCAAUCCUUGAGUAUAAAGGGUGGUUUAGUAGGAGAGUCAACGAUAAUAUCCCUAUGCCAAUUUUGGGAGUGGCUCGAUCAUUAGAGGAGAGCUUACGAGUGAUUCCAUCAGGGUUGGAGGUUAUGAAGCAAGAGUUCGAGAGAAAAAAUUUGGAGAUUGAAAAGAGGAUUGAGAAGCUCAAAGAGGAAAAAAUGUGCUUAAGUCUCGACGUCGAUAUUCAAAAGAUGGAAGUCGAGAAGGUGAAAAAGGAAAAGAGAAAGAUCGAGGAAGAUCGAGAUGAUUUAAAAACGCACUACAAAAAGGCCCAAGUAACGUUGAAAAGGGUCAGAUUAGGGAGAUCUCCAGAGCAGUGGCAGCAAGAGAUUCAGGAAGAAAGAGCCAAAGUCGAGUAUUGCGAGAAGAAGUUCCAAGAGAUGCAGUCGCGUAAUCAGGCCCUAGAGAAGGAAAAUCAAGGAUUAAAAACUAAGGUGGCUGAACUUGGACAAUCUCUUCAUCAUCACCGAAGUCGUAACCUUGCAAUCGAGUUAAAGGCAAGCUUGAACAAGAUCAAGAAAAUGAAGCACGAUAUUGGAAGGUUGGAAGCAGCACUACAGGGCUGUGAGCUACGGAUUGAGCAGCUCGAGGCAAGAGAAGAACAGUGGAAGGGAGAACUUCACCAUCUUCAGGAUCAAGUUGGAAAUAGGGAUUAUCUCAUGGGGAAGCCUCAGUUCAGAUUCGAGAGGUUGCUGAACACUUGCAGGAUUUGGCAGUACAAGCUAGAACGCUGAGUAUUAGAUAGUUAACAUUGUUAUUAGAUAGGGUUAAGACUCUAGGCCUACGGGCGAAAGCGUAUUUGUAAUCUGUUUUAUGAAAAGAUUUUUGGUUCCUUAAAUAACGUUUUCUAAAAUGAAAUUGAAUCAGAAUCGACAUCUUUUUGCAUUCAUACAUUUUCAUUUCAUAGCAUCUCAUUGUAUCAUAUACAUUCAAGUUUAUAGAAAAACCCUAAUUAGUUAAAAUUAAUAGGGAGAAAGAGAGCAAUACACGACAAAGGAUCGGAGCAAGGAAACCCUGAGGGCAUUCGCCCUUACGAACCGGGAAGCUAUCUGAACAAUUGGACUGUGGAGGAACUUCUUAUAGUCUUUAGGAAUUUUUCAGAGUAAUUCUCAAAAUAUUCUUGUUACUCUAGAGCCUAGGAGUAAUAGGAUUUCAUUUGUGAAAUGGGCUGACAAUCAUCUAUUAUUUUUUAAUAAAGCAUAACUUUUAUCAAUUUGAACGAGUAUUGUUUCAUUUUUAUCAACCAAUAUUCCGUUAAAUUUUGGCAAUUCUUAUUCUUUCAUUCAUAGCACAUAAAUAAUCAUUCUUAAAUUCAUUCAUUCUUUGUAUAUUCUUUAUACUUCACAGAUCCCUAGAUAUCAAUGACAUGAGCAUUGAUAUUACAAAUCCUGAUUUCUCUCGUGAGCAAGACAUGUGUUUAGAGGAAUCACAAGAUUUUGAAGAUGUCCAGGAUUGUGAUGUGUCUCUAGAUCUUUUGAGGAUGGUAAAGCAUGAGGAGAAACAAAUCAUGCCACAUGAGAAAGAGGCAGUAGAGAAUGUAGCCCUAGAGGAAGGGAAAAAGGUGAAAAUUGGCACGCAUAUUGCUGAUGAUAUAAGGCAAGGACUGAUUGAGUUGUUAUGUGAGUUCAAGGAUAUCUUCGCAUGGUCCUAUCAAGAUAUGCUAGGGUUAAAUACUGAUAUUGUGGUGCAUCGUCUUUCAAUAAGACAGGAUUGUAAACCAGUUCAACAGAAAUUGCGAAGAAUGAGACCAGAUAUUGUAUUAAAAAUAAAGGAUGAAGUCAAGAAACAGUUCGAUGCAGGAUUCUUACAAGAGGUAAAGUAUUCUGAAUGGGUAGCUAACAUUGUACCAGUUCCUAAGAAGGAUGGGAAGGUACAAAUGUGUGUUGAUUAUAGGGAUCUGAACAAAUCUAGCCCAAAAGAUAAUUUCCCUCUGCCUCACAUAAACACUUUGGUAGACAACACAGCGGGAUAUUCGUUGUUCUCCUUCAUGAAUAGUUUUUCAGGGUACAAUCAGAUAAAGAUGCACCCUGAAGACAUGGACAAAACCACCUUCAUAACCUUGUGGGGGACUUUCUGUUACAAGGUAAUACCCUUUGGGCUAAAGAAUGCAGGGGCAACAUACCAAAGGGCUAUGGUGACCUUAUUUCACGAUAUGAUGCACAAGGAAAUUGAGGUGUAUAUUAAUGAUAUGAUUGCCAAAUCUUGAACAGAGGAGAACAUAUUGAGGUUUUAAAGAAACUAUUCUUGAGAUUAAGGAAGUUUCAGUUAAAACUUAAUUCGGCAAAAUGUACUUUCGGAGCCAGGUUGGGGAAGUUACUAAGUUUUAUGGUCAGUGAAAAAGGAAUAGAAAUUGAUUCAGACAAAGUUAGAGCCAUACAAGAUUUGCCUUCACCGCGUACCCAGAAAGAAGUUCGGGGUUUUCUUGGAAGGUUGAAUUAUAUUGCUCAGUUUAUUUUACAAUUAAUUGAGAAAUGUGACCCUAUAUUUCGCCUCAUUAGAAAACACAACCAAGGUAGUUGGGAUGAGGAAUGCCAGAAUGCUUUCGAUAAGGUUAAGUAAUACUUGUUAAAUGCUCCUGUGCUAUCUCCACCUAAUCUAGGUACACCAUUAAUUCUGUACUUAUCAGUAUUUAGCAAUUCUAUAAGAUGUGUGCUUGGCCAACAUGACGAGUCGGGAAGAAAGGAGAAGGCGAUAUACUACCUCAGCAAGAAAUUCACAAAGUGUGAGAUGAGAUAUUCGCCAAUUGAGAAAUUGUGCUGUGCUUUAAUCUGGACGACUCGAAGGUUGAGGCAAUAUAUGUUGUAUCAUACUACUUGGCUUAUUUCAAAACUUGAUCCUCUAAAGUAUAUGAUGAGUCAACAGCUUUGAAUGGAAGAAUGGCGAGGUGGCAAAUUCUGCUUUCAGAGUUUGACAUAGUUUAUGUGAGCCAGAAGGCUAUAAAAGGAAGUGCGAUAGCGGAAUUUCUGGCUAGUAGAGCUCUAGAAGACUAUGAGCCAUUGAAUUUUGAUUUCCCAAAUGAGGAGUUGAUGUGUGUAGCAGCUACAGAGGAUUAUCCUUGGAAGUUGAGCUUUGAUGGGGCAUCCAAUACAGUGGGAAAUGGAAUUGGGGCAGUCUUGGUAUCCCCAAAUGGUGAUUAUUAUCCAUUCACGUGCAAGUUGGAUUUUUAUUGCACAAACAAUAUGCCGAGUAUGAAGCGUGCAUCAUGGGACUCCGAGCGGCUAUAGAGCGAAGAAUAAGAACCUUAGAAGUUUAUGAAGACUCCGCGUUGGUAAUUUACCAGCUUAAAGGUGAAUGAGAGACAAGGGAUCCUAAAUUGAUCAUUAUCGAAAGUUAGUUUUGGGAUUACUUGAGGAGUUCGAUGACAUCACUUUUAAUUAUAUACCACUAGACGAAAACCAGAUGGCAGAUGCUCUACCAACCUUGGCUUCAAUGAUUAAAGUGAAUAAAAAGGAGGAGAUGAGACUCAUUUAGAUGAGUAUCUUCGAGGCUCCAGCUCACUGUUGUAACAUUGAGGAAGAAGAAAAAGAUGAUAACCUUUGAUAUCAGGAUAUAUUGCGAUAUGUGAGAGAUUGUAAAUACCCAGAAUAGGCAACUGAAAAUGAUAAGCGAACUUUAAGGAGAUUAGCCUGCGACUACAUUUUUGAUGGGGACAUCUUGUACAAAAGAAGAAAGGACCAAGUACUGUUGAAAUGUGUUGACACCGUGGAAGCUAAGUUAAUCUUGGAAUAAGCUCACGAGGGUGUUUGUGGGACGCACGCUAAUGGUUUCACAAUGGCUAGACAAAUCAUGAAGUUUGGAUAUUAUUGGUCUACUUUGGAAGGGGAUUGUAUCAACUACGCCAAAAAAUGCCAUAAAUAUCAGAUUUAUAGAGACAAGAUUCAUGUACCACCUUCACCUCUACACGUUAUGACUUCUCCAUGGCCUUUUUCUAUUUGGGGCAUGGAUGUCAUUGGGCUAAUAUCACCAAAAGCUUCAAAUGGGCAUUGCUUUGUUUUUAUGGUCAUUGAUUACUUCACGAAGUGGGUAGAGGCUGCUUCUUAUGCGAAUGUUACUAAGUCAGCUGUAAGUCGUUUCUUGGAGAAAGAGAUUAUUUGUCAGUAUGGGAUGCCUGAAAGGAUCAUAUCAGACAAUGUACUGAACUUGAACAACAAAACGAUAGCAGAAGUUUGCAGUUAGUUCAGGAUUAAGCAUCAUAACUCUUCGCCGUAUCGCCCAAAGAUGAAUAAGGCAGUGGAAGCUACUAACAAAAACAUCAAGAAGAUAGUGGGGAAAAUGACUGAAACCUACAGAGACUGGCAUGAGAAGUUACCAUUUACACUCUUAGCUUACCGAACGUCUGUCAGAACUUCUACCGGGGUAACUCCUUUAGAAGCAGUAUUACCUAUUGAAGUGGAAAUACCGUCUCUUCGAGUCUUGUCAGAGAUAAAGUUGAAUGAAGCUGAAUGGAUACAAUUGUGAUAUAAUCAGUUGAACUUGAUUGAGGAAAAAAAGUUAAAAGCCAUUCGUCAUGGUCAGAUGUAUCAGAAGCAAAUGAUGCGAGCUUACGACAAGAAAGUGUGACCAAGAGAAUUCCAUGAGGGGGAUCUUGUGCUAAAAAAGAUCAUCCCUAUUCAGAAGGAUUUUAGAGGAAAAUGGAUGCCAAAUCGGGAAGGGCCGUAUGUCAUGAAGAAGGCCUUCUUUGGGGGUGCAUUGAUCUUAACGGAAAUGGAUGGGAAGAGUUUGCCCAAUCCAGUGACUUCAGACUCAGUCAAAAAGUACUUUGUCUAAAGGAGAGAAGAAUUCAGGGUGAAAACCCGCAAAGGGCGCCUUGUGACCAAAGGGGUUUUGAGUUGAAAACCUGAAAGGGCAGCUCAAAUUUUGAAAAGCACACGAUAAUCUUGCUAUAUCUGAUUCAACGAAGAGUGAACUGCGUUGCAUAUCGGGGUAUCAAAAAAGUACUUUGGAUCUUUUAAACACAUGUUGAAUUCAAGAAAGUCUUCAUGGAGCUGGCAUAUAAACGCUCAAGCGGCGAUAUCUAGGGCAUCUAACUUUUGUCCUGUUUGUAUCUUUAGAUUCUUUUUCUUCUCAAAGAUAGACUUUCAGGCUAAUUUCCUUUGUAUUUUUGACAAAUUUAUUCAAAUCUAAUUAUUCUCAAGAUUAAAUUCAUCUUCCAUUAUUCAUAAAGUAUGUUGCAUUAAAAUAAUGAUAGAUGAACUAAAUAAUUUUCACAAAUGAAGUUUUGCUCAUUACUCUGGAAUUUUUUAGAUAAUACAAGAAACUAAAACAGAACAAUUGUUUGAAGAAUUCACGUAAGUGAGGUUUGAAAGAACUCGAAAAAAUUCUUUCUUUAGUCCAAAAUGAUGAUUGGACAAAUCAAACGAUUCGAUCCUAAGAGAAGAUCAUUUUACAGACAUUUUUGGUGGGUCAUAGCAUUUGAAGAAUGGUACAAACCCACAGGCUGAGUAGGAAUGAUACUUCGAGAGAAAUAAUGAUAAACUUUGACGAAAGAAUGAGUGGUGACGUCUGGAAUAGGGGUCAUAUUCAUAAACAUUUUGCAUUAUAACAGGUUUAAUUAGGAGCAUUUGACUCACUUCGAUCAUAGCAUCCUAAUCAUUAGGCAUGAACUCAUACACAUUAUACAGGUUAUGUCCUUCAAGGGACAAUGAAGAUUGAUGCGCCUUAACCCCCUAAGCAGUAGGGUAACAGGCUAAAGCAUAGCAGAUUUGAUCUUCAGGUGUUUGCGCUGAAGCGGAUCCAAGAUGAUUUAACAUCUCUGUAUUGUCAGAGAACAAAUCGAAGAAACAGAUUUGGCAUCUCCAUAUUCGACGAAGAGCAGAUCGAAGACAUAGCAGAUCUAACUUUCAGAUGUUUUCACAUCGAAGUAGAUCCAAGAUGAUUUGGUAUCCUUGCGUUGACAAGGAGCAGAUCGAAGACAUAGCAAAUUUGGCUUUCACGUGUUUACGCUGAAGCGGAUCUAAGAUGAUUUGGCAUCUCUGUACUAUCAGAGAAAAAAUCAAAGAAACAGAUUUGGCAUCUCCAUAUUCGACGGAGAGCAGAUCGAAGACAUAGCAGAUCUAACCUUCGGAUCUUUUCACAUCGAAGUAGAUCCAAGAUGAUUUGGCAUCCUUGUGUUGAUAAGGAGCAGAUUGAAGACAUAGCAGAUUUGGCUUUCACGUGUGUACACUGAAGUAGAUCUAAGAUGAUUUGACAUCUCUAUACUGUCAGAGAAAAAAUCAAAGAAAUAGAUUUGGCAUCUCCAUAGUCGACGGAGAGUAGAUCGAAGACAUAGCAGAUCUAACCUUCGGAUGUUUUCACAUCGAAGUAGAUCCAAGAUGAUUUGGCAUCCUUGCGUUGACAAGGAGCAGAUCAAAGACAUAGCAGAUUUGGCUUCCACGUGUGUAUACUGAAGUAGAUCUAAGAUGAUUUGGCAUCUUUGUACUGUCAGAGAACAAAUCGAAGAAACAGAUUUGGCAUCUCCAUAUUCGACGGAGAGCAGAUCGAAGACAUAGCAGAUCUAACCUUCAGAUGUUUUCACAUCGAAGUAGAUCCAAGAUGAUUUGGCAUCCUUGCGUUGACAAGGAGCAGAUCGAAGACAUAGCAGAUUUGGCUUUCACUUGUUUACGCUGAAGCAGAUCUAAGAUGAUUUGGCAUCUCUGUACUAUCAGAGAACAAAUUAAAGAAACAGAUUUGGCAUCUCCAUAUUCGACAGAGAGCAGAUCGAAGACAUAGCAGAUCUAACCUUCAGAUCUUUUCACAUCGAAGUAGAUCCAAGAUGAUUUGGCAUCCUUGCAUUGACAAGAAGUAGAUCGAAGACAUAGCAGAUUUGGCUUUCACGUGUGUACGCUGAAGCAGAUCUAAGUUGAUUUGGCAUCUCUGUACUGUCAGAGAAUAAAUCGAAGAAACAGAUUUGGCAUCUCCAUAUUCGACGGAGAGCAGAUCGAAGACAUAGCAGAUAUGACCUUCAUUGAAGCAGAUCCAAGAUGAUUUGGCAUCUCUGUAUUAGACGGGGAGCAGAUCGAAGACAUAGCAGAUUGGACCUUCAUUGAAGCAGAUCCAAGAUGAUUUGGCAUCUUUAUAUUAGACGGGGAGCAGAUCGAAGACAUAUCAGAUCUGACCUUCAUUGAAGCAGAUCCAAGAUGAUUUGGCAUCUCUAUAUUAGACGGGGAGUAGAUCGAAGACAUAGCAGAUUGGACCUUCAUUGAAGCAGAUCCAAGAUGAUUUGGCAUCUCUGUAUUAGACGGGGAGCAGAUCGAAGACAUAGCAGAUCUGACCUUCAUGUGUUUACAUCGAAACAGAUCCAAGAUGACAGAUUUGGCAUCUCUGUAUUAGACGGGGAGCAAAUCGAAGAUAACAGAUUUGGCAUCUCUGUAUUAGACAGGGAGCAAAUUGAAGAAGUAGAUUUGGCGUCUCUGUAUUAGACGGGGAGAAGAUCGAAGAUAACAGAUUUGGCGUCUCUAUAUUAGACGGGGAGUAGAUCAAUGAUAGCAGAUAUCGCCUUCCUGAGUUGCAGUGAAGCAGAUUGAAGCCGUCAAGAGGCCAUUUAAAGAAGAUCAAGGAUCAAGAACUCAAGACUCGGCGAGCCCGGGCAAAAUUGGUCCUUUUAUAGUCUUUGCUCUAUUCCUGUUACACAGCAAUGAGCAAAGAGGGGCAGCUGUAGACACUCAAUUUUGCUCGGGCCCAGAAAUAAGUCCAAAAACAAAAAUAAUAAACCCCAAAAAAAAAACAAAGGCCAAGUUCAGUCCAGAAUUACAAAUAUAAUUUGACCCGAUCGGAAUGGCCCAUUACUUGAAAAGAUUUAAGGUCCAUCUACAAGCUUGACUCAUAUGGAAAUAUAAUCUUCAAUGAUAUGCAAUCUUAGAUAUGAUAUGCAAUCUUAGAUAUGAUACAAUCUUAGAUAUGAUUGCAAUCUUAGAUAUGAUAUGCAAUCUUAGAAGAUAUGAUUUUGUAAUCUUAGAGAUUUAAUUUGUAGAUACCUUUUAAUCUUAACUGUUGAUGUAAUUGAUCUGUACCGUUGGAUUUGAGGAGGUUCAACUAUAAAUAGAGGUCUCUCCCUUCAUUGUAAAGACACUGGAGUUUUGGGAAAUAAUAAAAAUUUUUGAGAGCUUUCACUCAAAUUUCUCUCCCUCUUAUGUUCUUAUUUUCUACGGUUUGUUCUUAUUUUAUUCUUUGUUCAUCUUCGGUUUUCAACCCUUUUUAUUUUGAUUUAAUCCAUGUUUCCCUGAUUUUUUUUAUAUAUUUUAAUUUUUUUAAUAAUUUUAGUAUCAUAUCAAACUCUUUCAUUUUUUAAUAAUUUUUUUAGUAUUACUCUUAGUAAAUUAUUUUUUAAAUUUUACUCAAAGAAUUAUUUUAAAAAAUAUAUAUUUCAUUUAAUUGUCAUAUUUUAUCCAAAAGUUUUUCUAAAAUGAGGCAAUGUUUUUCGUAUUUAGGAAUUCGGGAAAUAGUGCCCUAACAUGCUGGGUUGCGAUUUCCCGUUUGUCUAAAUGCCUAAAGUAUCCUUCUAAAUAGAUUUUGUAAAUCACGAGAUGAUUUCAGUUACGAGAGUUUAAGAAUAUCGUGUCCUAUCAUGUUGGAUGUGAUGUUUGUAUUCUUUCGGAGCUAAGGAAUCUCGAUUUUUCAACUUAAAUAAUUCCAGUUUUAAAAAAGGGAUCCUAUUUUUAAAUCCUUUCAAAUUUUUGACAUUAAGACAGAAAACUAUUCAAUCUGGUACCAAUUUUGGGCGUUGCGAGGGUGCUAAUCCUUCCUCGUACGUAACUGACUCCCGAACCUGUUUUCUUAAUUUUCGUAGACCAAAACGUUUUAUAAGGUGAUCCAAUCACACCUAAAAAGGUUGGUGGCGACUCCCAUUUUCGUUUUUCAAAAGUCGAUCCUCAUUUUUCAAACAUUCCUUUAAAAAAUGAUUUCGACAAUGAGAGUAGAGACAGGGUUUUUAUUUGUUAAAAUAACAAAUAGGAAUUCUAAUUGAAUUAGGGAGAGACUUUAAGAAAAUUGGGUUGAAUAGAAAAAUUUGGGGUCUAAUGGCAAUUAGCCCAUUCGUAAGGAAAGGUAUUAAUGUAGGAUUACUAACGUGAGAAAAAACCAAUCCAUGAGGCUUAAUUCUUGAUUCUCUGCUCUUACUACCAAGCGAGGCUAGGUUUUAGUUCUUGUUUAUUUUUAAAAAAAAAUUAACCUUCUAUUAUUUGAGAUGUUAUUGGAUUUUUCUUUUAUUUUUUAAAAUUUUUAGUUAUUUUUUAAUCAAAUUAAUUGGACCAACAAACCAAUGACCUAAUCAAUUUAAUCACCGAUCCAAUUCCAAAAACAUUAGUUUAAACUCAUAUCAAUAAGAUGUUAAACAAAAUCUCUAACUACUACCUAUUAAAAUUUUAACAAAAACCAUAUUCAAUUUUUAACUAGACACUUUUUUAACUAUAUUAUUAUUUUUAUAAUAUUAAGCGUAAUAAUUUUUUUCAUUAGGCAUAAGAUGACAAUUGAGGUAGGUACAACAUCUUCAUAAUGUUUAAUAUAUGCAUGGUAGUUCUAAAGUACAGUUAGGUACAACUAAUUUCAUGCACAUAUUUUGCAUAUGCAUAGAUCUUCGUGAUAAGAAAAAGCGGAAGGACAUUGCUUAAGCAAUUAAAAAUAACUUGUAUUUUAAUAAAUUAUUUAUUUUCCUGGCCAAAAAAAAAAAUCUUAUUUGUUUUGCUAAUCCUUUCUUGCAAAAGGUUAUUGUUUUAAAUUUUAGAAAGUUAUCACAUUGAAACAAAUUUGAUUUUUCUUAUAAGGAGAUAAAAUUGAUUUUAAGUGUUGUCCCUUCUUUUUUAUAAAAAAAAAAAGUUAAAUGUCAAAGAUUUUGUACUCCUAUGUAAUUUAAUUUUAAAUUAUUUAAUUUUGUAAUUAUAGAAAUGACAUAAUAACUUUUUGAAUUCUCAAUAUUUAUACUUUUUUGUCAAUUUAGUCCUUACUUUCUAAAAGUAAAUAAAUUGGAACUUUCUUUUUAUAUUUUAAUGAAUUUUUAAAUUAAUUAUUUAAAAAUUUUAUUUUUAAAUUUAAAGAGUUUUAUUUUUUCAUAAAUUUUUUGUAAAAAUUUUACACUUUUUACACUUUUUAGGAUUUUUUGAAAAUAUAAAAAAAUUAUUUAUAUUUAUUUUUAAAAAUUAAAAAUAAAAUUAAAAAAUAUAAAUAUUGAGAGUUAAAAAUUUAUUUUUUUAUAAUUAUAAAAUUAGAUAAAGAGAUCAAUGACUUUUAAAUAAAAAUAUUAAAAUUCAAUAUCUCAAAAUUAAAGUGUAAACACAAAUUUUUAACAUAUUUAAAUCUCUAAAAAGAUUAUACAAAAAUACACCCAUCCCAUCUACCUGUUCGCAAAAUUUUAAGUUUCGACCGUAAAAUAAAAUAUUAUUUUAAUAAUAUGAUUAAAACUAAUAAAAAAUUGAGAAGAUCUUCAUGACAUUGUUGUUGAUUCAAUCUUUUGAUACCAGAGUGAUGAAAUAGAUGGACACAAUUUUAAACACCAAAAUGUGAUUACCUAUUUGUUGUUAUAUAUUUUUUGUCAUCCAUGUUAUUUUUAUAUUUAUAUUUUGAAUUUAUGAUUAUAAUUAAGAGUGAAAUUAAAUUUUUUUUAUUUUUUAAUUAUUGACGUAAAAUUGAGGGGAAAUAAAUUAUUAACCCUUUCAACAAUUAUUCUAAGAUUUAAAAUCACUUCCACGCCCAACAAUUGUUGGAAAUCGCUGUUAUUAUAUAGUUGGUCAAAAUAUGAACUCCCCAUAUGUAUAUAUAUUAUUCAAACGUUUGUCGUCAUAUGACAGAAACUAGUAUAUAAAGCAAACAGGUGGGCAAGUUUUGAAGCACCAAGCAAAAGUACUAAACCUGUACAAAUUUAGUAAGCAACCAAAAGGCAAGAAAUUAACUAUCAUGGCUGCCAAUAUAGCUUUACCAUAUGCAGCGGGCAUCCCAGCUCCAGCAUGCCAGCAGCGUCGUAGAAGCAUGGUGAUCAAGGCGCAGAAAACCAGUAUCAUGGCCAAUCCACCUGCAGUACAGCACUGUGAACAAGCCAGUGGCUUUGGUUCCAUACCACGCCAUCCUCUUACACAGCCUUCAUUCAGUACCAAACGGAACAACACAAUGGUGGUGGGUGCUUAUCCCGACUUGAAAUUAGAAAUUACCCCGGGAAUUCCAGUAUAUACAGACGGGCGGCUUGAGAACUUUUCUGGUGAACUUUUGAAGUUGGACGAUAAAAUCUUUUGGGAAGGGCCUCGACCUGAAUAUCUCGACAAAGAAAUCGAGGAUGGAAACACCGGCUGUUUUUUGCAGAAAGCUGACUCGGGAGGUUCAAUUGGAGGACUCGAAUAUGUAUUCCCAGGAGACGAGUAUAAGUGGGUGAUUGCUUGGAGCAACGCCAGAAAUGAUCUCAAUAAGGUUUUGUAUUCGUAACCUUCAACAACUGACUCAAAUUACUACUAUUUACAGCUUGUACUUACAUAUAUGCAUGUAAUCAAUUAUUCUUAUCUACCUAUCAAUUGCAGGUCUACACUGUGAUCCAUCGUGACGACGUUGAUUGGAAUGAAAUCAAGCAAAGUCUCGAUGCAUCCGGCCAAGAAAGCAUAUUCAACGGCCUUAACCAUGACAUCCCAUACUCUUCAGUCGCUCUGAUUGAUAAAACAAGCCCUACGCCAACAAUGGUUGCAGUACUUCUAAAGGCAGGAGUACCCCUAGCCUCCACCAAAAGCACUCUGACAGCCGCCAAUAUCUCUAAAGACCUUACACAAGCCGAUGGACAAAUCUCUAAAGACCUUAUACAAGCCAACGGCGCAGGGGUAGCACCAGCUACUCAGGAAGCAGAAAAGCAGGUGGCACCAGCUAGUUAGACACGAUCUCGUUAAAGUAUAUAAUUAGCUGGCUUUGUUUAUCGAUCAAACUGUGCUGUGCGGUUAUGUAACUAUAUAUUACUAUUACAAUAAAUUUGAAAGCCAGCAGUGUUUCGACUGUUACGGGUGUCUUGGUUAUGCAAAAUUUCAGAGUAUAUGUAGCUGAUCAUAUCUGAAAAUAAAAAGCCUAUUACUAUCUUAUCAUCUAAUGUUUGCUCCACCUACUUCGUACUUCCUUCUAAACAAGUUCUCAGACAAAGUUGAAAAUAAAGACCUUAAAAACUUUUGAUAGUAUGUUUAUCUAGUAAUAUCUAAAAUCCAAUAAAUAAAAACCGUGACUCCCCAGUUAACCAACAAAAUUACAACUUGCUUAAAUGGAUUAUGUAACUGAUAUUUCCUUUGAUUAGGUUAAAUAAUUUUAUCAAAGAUAUAUGACUUAAAAUUUUAUGGGUGAUCCAUGCCAAAAUAAUUCAAAUCAUGUUUCAUGUCAAAAUUUUAUUUAAACAAAAUCCACAAUUUCCAAAUAUAUAAACUAGAUAUAAUUCGAUUCCUUUUAUUACCUAUGCUCAAAUACAAUAAUUAAUCCUAGUGAGAAUAACUUGAAAACUGCAAUUAACCCAAAUGCUAUAGACUGAAAAUGUCAUGGCUAGAAGAAUUGGUUCAUUUUUUUAGUUUAUCUGUGCAUAUUUAGAAAGUAAAUUGAUUUGGUUUAGUAGUUAAGUGUUCUAAAUUGAGUGCUUGAGGUCUUAUGUUCAAUUCUCUAUCCUUAAAUAUUUUUAUUAAAUUUGUCUCAAUAUCUGGAUUAACAUGUAUAGAUUAUCUUUAAUUUUUGUUUGCUCACCUAUAACAAUCAACCUACUAGUUUGGUGGUAAGGUUUUAGUAUUCCUUUAGAUCUCAAGUUCAAAUCUUGCUGUAUGUGAAAGUGGUAAUUAACCUAAACCCUCUUAAAGAGUGAGUCAAAUGCAAACUCUAAAGUGAUAACAAAUAAAUUAUGAUAUUGUUUUAUUUUCUUUUUAAAUUGAGAAUUAUUUCUCAAAACUCUCUCUCUUGCCAUCCCACUUCCCCCUCAUUCUCCACUUUGUUUUGCACGUUGUUUUCUUUUGUUGUUAUAACGCCCUUUUGCCAAAUUUUCUUUGUUUUCUAUUCCUUCCCAUCUCUUUUGUCUUUCCCUUUUUCUUUAGUUUCCAUAAGAUCACAAUGAACACUCUAAUGUGUAAUAGCCCAAAUUUGACUGGGUUGAAAGCAGAAUAUAAAAAUUAAAAUGUCCAUUUAAAAAGUCCAAUUACAAAACCCUACCCAGUAGGCCCACUGUUACUACCCAGCAACCCAAAUAAACCCAAUAACCCCAUAGCCCGUUACAAUAACCCAAUACACCAAUACAGUCAUGGCUCAAAUUCUUAGCAGGCCCAAUGAGCCCCAAACACACAUCAAACCCUAUAGUUUCUUCCUAACUUUUUUUCCUCGCGCCGUAAGGGAUUCUGGAAGCUUCGGGGAGCAUCUGUCCAGCUCCCCGAAUCGAGGCCAUCAAUGCAGUCAAGGCCGGGACCGUCAUCGCCAUCAUCGAAGCCUUUAUCACCGCCACCAUCAACGCCCAAGACACGCCAGAAUCUGGCAUUGGCUCCAUUAGCGUGCAAACAUCAGUGAUUGAGCAAGAUUCUCGUGGGUUACCUGCGAACAAAAAAGAAACUAAAAUAAAGAGAUUUCAGCAGAUCACAAUCAAAGAUAUGAUACAGCAGACAAGAAAUGGAAAGAAAUCUUUGAUUUCUUUCCAAUUUAUGUAAAUCACAGUAGUGGCUAUAAAAGCCUGAAUCAAACAUUGUAAAAGGACUUUUCUUACGAAAUAGAAAUAUAUAUUCACAGAUAUUCAUUCAAAAAUAUCAACAGUCUCUCAAAAGGUGAUUUACAUCGCAUAUCUUGUGCUUAUAUUUUGAAUAUAUAUGAACUGUUCUAACCUGCAUGAGUAAGGAUCUAAGGGAAGAGAGAUUACCCGUGGAAGGACGAAGGUUUUUAAGCCUUCAGACCACCGUGUACGACAGCGCGUGAGGCGCGUGUGCAAACACUGCACCGUGGCCGGAGGUCGGAGCUGGGACCUCUCUCUUCCCCUUUGCAGAGUUUUUUUUUUUGUUUUUUUUAAAGACCAGUGUUAAAAUGAUCUUUAAGUUGCAAAGUUGGCUUAUAUAGCCUCUUCGAAACGAUAUCGUUUCUACUUAACUCAAUAAGCUCAAAACGGUGUCGUAUUAAGCCAUAGGAUCCGCGCGUUGACCCGAUUACCCGGGGAGGAUCCGCGUGUUUUUAGAAUUGGGUUAAUUACCCAAUCGGUCCUUUCGCCUCUUUUAAUUUAUAAUUACGUAUUAUUUUAUUUUUUUAAUUUGGCCCUAUUAUUUUACAAUUGUUUCAAUUUAGUCUCGACAGUUGUUAAAUUACAUUCUGGGAAAUGUUGCCGUUUUGAGGAAUAGGGCAACUUGCCCAAUGAGUCCCUCUUGUUUUACGCGCGUUUUAAUUAGGGCCUUAAUUCACUGUUAUUUCUUUUAAAUUUCCCCUGAGAUUUUAUUGAACUUCAAAUUUAACCCUAUAUAUUUAUUAUAUUGUUAUUUGUUUUAUUUUUAACCUUGUUUUUAUAUUAUAUAUUAUAAAAUUAUUUUAUUAUAUAUUAUUUAUAUUAUUAUUAUUUAUUAUAUAUUAUUUUUCACAAGUUAUUAUUAUUUUACAUCAUUAUUUAUAUAUUAUUAUAUUAUAUGUUUAUUAUAUAUUAUAUAUUAUUUUUAUAUAUAUUCUUUUAUAUUAUAUAUUAUAAUUAUUUUAUAUAUUAUUAAGUCAUUUUUAUAUUAUUAUACAUUUUUAUCUAUAUAUUAUUAUCAUUAAAGGUUUUAAACUUGUAUUAUAUAUUUAUCUUUAUUUAUAUAUUAAUAAAUUUUUUUAUUUAUAUUCUAUUAUUACACAUUUUGAAGAUAUUAUAAUAUUAUAAUACAUAGUUUUCAUCAUUAAUUAUUCAUUUUAAACUUAUAUUUAUAUAUAUUAUAUAAUUAUUUCAUUAUAAACAUAAAUUCUUUUGCAUAUUUUAUAUUCUAUACAUUAUUUUACUAAACCAAUAUCUUUUGUAUUUUUUAUGUAAUUAUUAUGCUUAUAAAUACAUUUUUAUUAUAUAUUAUAUUUUAAAUUUAUUAUUAAAUAUCACAUUUUUAUUAUUUGUUUAUAUUAUACAUAUAUUUUUUUUUAAACUUUUGUUUUUAUUAUUAUACAAUAUUUAUUUUUACUUUAGUAUUAAUGUAUUAUUGUUAUGUUAUAUAUUAUAUCUUAGACUUUUAUAUUUUAUUUUCAAAUGAAUAUUUUUUUAUAUAUGUACAUUGAUAUAUUGUAUAUCAUGCAUCAUUUAUAUGAUUAAAUAUAUGUUGAAUUAUAUGUUUAGGGAUUUUUACCUAUUUCUUCUUUAAUAUGUAUUCCGUUUUAUGUAUAUCUUUCUUAUUUAAAAAUUGUCAUGUUUUAUUUCUUAUAUAUGUUGAUUAGUGUAUGAUAUUUAUGCCGUUAUGCUCUUACUUUCCUAUCAUUGUAACAUGUUAUCUCGUAUGUUAUGUUAAUAUGCUCCUUCAUGCAUCGAUUUUUUUUUUAAAAAAACGAGACUUCAAAUUUUUCAAAAAAAUAAAAAGGCAAUGCUCGGUGUUUGGAAGCUUCGAGAAAAGUAGUGCCCUAACUUAUUGAGUUGCGACUUUUCUCGUUGAGUUCGAAUAAUCAAGUACCCUUCUAAGUUUUAAAGGUUUUCCAAGUGCAAGCCACUAUAUUGGAAUUUCAAAGCAAUAUGUCCUAACUUAUUGGAUAUAGCGUUUUGUGGUUUCAAGAUAGGAUUUCCAAAAAAGGUUAACUUAAUGUCAAUACUUUGAUACGAGUGAAUCCCAAUUUUCAAAAUUAAAAUAUUUUAAAGAGGACUACAUCUUGAAAUUUUUGAAUUUCCGACAUUAAAGACACUUGAUAAUCAAUUAGGUACCAAUUUUUGGGCGUUACGAGGGUGUUAACCCUUCCUCGAACGUAACCGAUUCCCGAACCCGUUCUUUUAUUUCGUAGACCAAAACUAAUGAUUUUAAAACAAAAUGUUUUAAAGGUGAACCAAUCGCACCUAAAAAGAUUGGUGGCGACUCUUGUUUUUGUUUUUAAAGUCGAUUCCCAUUUUCCAAAACUCGAUUUAAAAAUGGUUUCGACAGCUUGGCGACUCCACUGGGGACUAAUAAGAGAGUCAAGCCGUGUAAUUGAUUAUCUCUUGUCUUAAUGUCAGAAAUUAAAAAUUUUAAAAUUUAAUUCUCUUUGCAUUACAUGUGUUUGUAUUAUUGCAUGUGUUGCUAUAUCCUGAUACGCAUUGCAUUUGCAUGACCGUUGUGGUCACACCCUUAAGUGGGAGUGAGAAGCUACGCCUUCGUGAGGUUUUCGCCUUCGUGCAGGAUAGUGGAUCACUUUCGGGAUACAUCCGUACCUAUGGUUUUGUGAGAUUUUCAUCUCCGUGUAGCCAUAGGAAAAUGUAUUCCCCUGAAUCGAACUCGAUUCAAAUGAGCCUAUAAUGGGUGAAUCGAGGAAUCUGCUGGUUCGGGUACCUCAAACUUUAGAACCAACCUCAUAUCGAAAGACCGUAUAAGCCCAACUUAGUUAGGUUUAAACCUUAGAUAUUACCCUUAUAAGUUAUCAUUGAAAUUUAUUGAUAUCAUGUGAUACUGACUAUCUCUUUUCUUUUGUUUGCACGUCAUUUUGCAUUUACAAAGAUAUCGGUUCACGAUCAGUUUUUAAGUUAGGAAGUUUUAUUAUGGAGAACGGACUUCUUGAUAGAGUGGAAGGCAACGCCAACGUCCAUAGAUGGUCUGAGCAAACUCAACUAGAAAAGGGAGAUAGUAUAGCUGAGGGAUACCUGUCGGAGUUGUCAGAUUAUACUCGUAUUAGUGUCACGCAGAAUAAUCUCCAGGAGCUUAAGGAAAUUUGGGAUCAGUGGGGCAAAGAGACCAAGCAGUUAUUCUACGAUAAUUACGGAGACUUACCGUACUUGCUUGAUGUUCAGAUAGACGAGCACUUAUUCCGAGCCCUUGCUUAGUUUUGGAACCCAGCAUACAAUUGCUUCACUUUUGGGGAGUAGAUAUGGUACCUACUGUGGAGGAGUACACUGCCUUGCUUUGUUGUCCCAGGUUUCAGAAUGAUAGGAUCUAUUCUCGAGCUGCUUGUGUCCCUACUUUUUGGAAGAAAUUGAUGAUUAUUACGGGGAUGAGCGAGCAGUGGGCCACGACCCAAAUUAAGGAAAAGGGUGAGUGCAAGUGCAUUUUGUGGGAUGCUUUGAAAGAUUUGAUUCUGACACACCCUGAUGAGACGAAGAAGGUGGAUGUUUUUGCCUUAAGUUUGUAUGGAUUGAUGGUUUUCCCUAGGGCGUUGGGAUACGUGGAUGAGGCAGCCACGGAUCUUUUUCAUUGACUCAGUAAAAAAGGUCACUUCUGUUCCUGCAAUUUUGGCGAAAACAUUCAGGUCUUUAGGUGCAUGUAGGAGGGAUGGUGCUAGCAGGUUUAUAGGGUGUGCUCAGUUACUUUUGGCUUGGUUCUACAGUCAUUUUCGGUUGAUAGAUAGGGUGGUUUGUCGGGUCUUCUUCGAGGAUUAUUCACCGUUGAAAGACAUAGUAGCUUCAACUAGGAGAGUUGAUGUUCCAGAAGAGAAUUGGAUUGCGCUACUUCAGAACCUUCAGUCGAAAGAUGUCGAGUGGAGGGCUCCGUGGAUGAUUCCUGGUGAGGUUCUUUAUCGAUGCGGCAGUUUUGAUUGGGUCCCCCUGUUGGGAAUUUGGGGUGCCAUUAGUUAUGCCCCUUUGCUCGUGCUGAGGCAGCAUGGUUUGAGACAGUUCGUACUAGCAACUCAGGGGUUGGCUCAAUGUGAGUUCGUAUAUAGAGGAGCCGAUUAAAAGAGGAAGGUUAGUGAAGUUUCUAGUGCUUAGAAGAAGACUUGUCGGUUGAAAGGAGUAGCUAUUAGUCCUGCAACCACACCAGAAUACAUUGAAUGGAGAGGUAGAAGGGUUAACGAUAAUAUCCCUAAGCCAAGUGUGGAAUGAGCUCGACCGAUGGAAGAAUAUUUGCAAGUAAGGCCCUCAGAGUCAAAAAUUAUGAAGCAGGAGUUCGAGAGAAAGAACUUGGAGUUCGAGAAGAGGAUAGCAAAGCUCAAAGAGAAAAAGAUGUACUUGAGUUUGGACGUCAAUGUUCAAAAGAUGGAGCUCGAGAAAGAGAGAAAAGAAAAGAGAAAGAUCGAGAUGAUCUAAAGGAGCAUUACAAAAGGGAACAAGUAUCCUUGAGGAGAGCGAGAGUAGGAGGAUCUUCAGAUCAGUUGCAGAAAGAGGUCCAAGAGGAAAAGGCUAGAGUCGAGUAUUAGGAGAGGAAGUUCCAAGAGAUGCAGGUGUAGAAUUUGGCAUUAGAGGAAGAGAAUAGAAGAUUGAAGAAUAAGGUAACUGAGCUUGGAAGAUCACUACGUUGGCACCAAAACCAUAAUUCUACGGUCGAGUUAAAAGAGCUAAAAAGCAAGGUUGAGGAUUUGGAAGUGGCAUUGCAUGAUGGUGAACUCUGAGUUGAGCAGCUCGAGGCGCAAGAAGAUUAUCUGAAGGGAGAGCUUCAUCAGGCUAGAGGACAGGUUAGAGAAAGGGAUCAUGUCAUUGGUGAAGCCAUAGCCCAGAUUCGAGAGGUUGCUGAAUAUGUGCAAGACUUGGCAAUUCGAGCUGAUGUAUUGAGUUUGAUGUAUUCAUCAUCGUCGGAUAUAGGACAAGAGUUAGCCAUUUUAUUAGAUAGAGUUAAAGCUUUGGGCCUUAGGGCGAAAGCGUAUUUGUAAUCCUCUUGUAUGUAAAGAUAUUCUUUUUCUAAAUAAAAUUUUCUAAAUGAAUUUGAAUCAAAAUCGAUAUCCUUUUUGCAUUCAUGCAUUUGCAUCUCAUAGCAUUUCAUCAUAUCAUUUGCAUUCAAAGUUAUAGAAAGACCUUGAUUAGUUAAAAUUUACUUUAAAAGGUAGAAAGAAAAAUCUGGAAAUCACACAUCCUUACGACACUCACACUAAAACUAAGAGCAUGGAUCAAAGGUUCGAGCAAUUACAAAAAGAUAUGCAAGACCAAAUGCAAGAGUAGUUGGCCAAAAUGCAGAAUGAAAUGAGGGAGCAAAUGCUAGAGGCUCAGAGGAACAUGAUGGCUAAAAUGGCUCAGCUGUUGAGAGCCACUGAUAAGAAAAGCUCCCAUGGCGAUCACUGAAGAAGAGAAUGAGGGUUCUCCUCCGGGUUUUACUCCGCCUCAUGUGCCACUGCAAACCGAAGCACCUCCUAGAAAGCCAUUUGUUACAGUGAGGCAUCAGCAUGAGCCAGUUGAUGCUAGAAUCCCCGUAAAUUUCCCAUCUGGGUUGGGAAAUAAUUUGGGUGAUAGCUCGGUCAACCCUAUCACUCUUGAUCUGGAUUUGAUGGAGAAGGAAAGAAUGGCAACUGAAUCCGCAAAACAAUUGGAAGAUCGUUGCAGGUGGUUAGAGGAGAAGUUUAGGGUUUUGAAAGGCGCUGGCAAUCAUCAUAGGAUUGAUGCAAAAGACCUAAGUUUGGUCCCAGAUUUGGUGCUUCCUCAUAAAUUUAAGAUGCCAAAGUUUGAAAAGUACAACGGAACUACUUGCCUAGAGGCACACAUAACAAUAUUCUGUAGGAGAAUGACUGAAUAUGUGAACAAUGAUCAAUUAUUGAUCCAUUAUUUUCAGGACAGCCUGGUAGGAGCAGCGGCUAGAUGGUACAAUCAAUUGAGCCGUGCAAGAAUUGGUUCAUAGAGAGAUCUGGCACAGGCUUUCAUGCAACAAUACAACCACGUGACUGAUAUGACGCUAGAUAGGAUCACACUUCAAAACAUGGAGAAAAACCCUAAUGAAAAUUUUAGGCAAUAUGCACAACAAUAGAGGGAGGUGGCAAUGCAAGUACAACCACCAUUAUUGGAAAAUGAGACCACCAUGUUAUUUAUUAAUACUUUGAAGGCGCCAUUCUCACACAUAUGAUUGGAAGUACCACGAAAAGUUUCGCGGAUAUAGUUAUGGCGGGUGAGAUGAUUGAGAAUGCCGUGAGGGGCGGUAAAAUCAAGGUGAAUAACAUGAACAGUUUCAACUCCAGGACAGUCACAGUUGGACAACCUAAAGCAGCUACGGGUGAGCAACAAAGUACUCAAAGACAGGAAUUGGGUACAAGACAAAAUUCGGAGAGGAUGCAAUUCACUCUAUCCCUGUGACAUAUCGUGAGCUUUACCAAAGCUUAUACGAUGCACAUGCCAUUGCUCCAUUUCACUUGAAACCGCUGCAGCCACUGUACCCUAAAUGGUAUGAUGCAAAUGCUAAAUGCGAAUAUCACGCGGGAAUAUCGGGGCAUUCAAUUGAAAACUGCACUGGGUUCAAGUAGGUCGUGGAGAGACUCAUCAAAAUGGGGAUUGUAAAAUUUGAUAGUACCCCUAAUACUAAAAACCCGUUACCAGAUCAUGGCAAUGAAAGAGUGAAUGCCAUUGAGGAAACAAAGAAAGGAAAAGUCAAGGAAGAUAUUGUUGAGGUGAAGACACCUAUGAAAGUAAUAUGGGAGGAGACGGUGAAGAGAGGUAUGUUGACCUCUAGAAAAGGAAGAGAAGGAAUAGAGAACCAUUAUGAAUUCCAUGGAGAGGUGGGUCAUAUGAUCCAAAAUUGUGAAGAGUUCAAGGCCAUGGUACAAGGCCUUAUGGUUAACAAAGAACUACAGGUUUCUGAGGGUAGUUCUUGUGAAGGACAAAUAUGUGUGCUGGAGAAUGAACGACAAAGAACCAGCCAACCAAGAAUUAUUAUUUCCUUGCUAGGGAAUAAUGAGGCGGGGUUGCAAACUGGGCCCAAAAUAGUUAUCCAUAAACCCAAUCCUUUCCCUUACAAGGAUGACUAGGAGGGUGCCAUGGAGCUAUGACUACAAUAUAGCAAUACCUAAGGGGAAGAGUAUAGCUAGCGCGGCCAGGGGCACGCAAAAUGAAGGUUCCCAUACACGAAAUGGGAAACGUUAUGAUGGGGGGAACAUCAGAAUGGAGCCCGCAAAGACGAAAGAUGUCAAGGUUGAAAGGGAGAACGAGACUGAAGUACCCAUCAAUGAGCCGGUAAAGGAGGAAGAAGCUAGGGAGUUUCUAAAGUUCCUAAAACAUAGCGAGUAUAGCAUGGUCGAGCAGUUGCGCAAACAGCCAGCACGUAUAUCAAUGUUAGCCCUACUCUUGAGUUCUGAGAUGCAUCGGGAUGCGUUGUUAAAGGUGCUUAAUGAAACAUAUGUCACCCACGACAUAUCCGUUAACAAGCUGGACCGGUUAGUAAACAACAUCAGUGCUGACAAUUUCAUCUAUUUUAAUGAUGAUGAAAUUCCACCUGGAGGCAUCGGGUCAACCAAAGCCCUGCACAUCACUACUCGGUGUAAAGGAUACACACUUUCAAGUGUACUCAUUGAUAAUGGGUUUGCUUUGAACGUCCUCCCAUUAUCCACAUUAAAUAGAUUACCCAUUGAUAGUUCACACAUGAAAGCAUGUCACUAUGUGGUAAGAGCUUUUGAUGGAGCUGAAAGGAAAGUAAUGGGACGAAUUGACAUCCCUCUGGAGAUUGGGCCAAAUACGUAUGAAGUUGAUUUCCUGGUGAUGGAUAUCAAACCCUUCUAUAAUUGUUUGUUGGGGAGACCAUGGAUACACUCGGCAGGAGCGGUGCCCUCCUCACUACACCAAAAAUUGAAGUUAGUGACAGAUGGACGCUUAAUAACCAUCAAUGCGGAAGAGGACAUCAUAGCGGCAGUCACCAGCAAGGCCCCUUGUAACGCCCCAAUUUUCUGGAAUUCUGUGAAUGUUGGCAUAGGUUUAAUUAUGUUAGUGGGCCUCUAGAAGGCCCAAGCUUAAGAUAGAACCCGGUAAUUUUAGUUAAUUUUUGUUCCAUAAGAAAAAGGGAGUGAAAUUAUGAAAUAGGACCUAUGUGAGUGAAAUUAUGAAAUAGGACCUAUGUGAAAAUGUUUGAAAAUGCUAUAGGCUAAUUUGUAGUGGCCAAAUAAAUAGGAGUGCAAAAUAGGAGGAUUUGCAUGACAAACCUCCCAUUUUACAUGAAGUGGCCAGCCAUCAUGUUGUUGUAGACAAUAUGAGCACUUGAUAUCCAUAAUUCAUGGUACAAAUUGAUAAUGGGUUAGGUAAAUGUUCCAUGAUAAUGGUUUAGGUAAAUGUUCCAUGAUGGGCAUUUCAUGUCUUUUGUAUUAAAGAAUUAAAUGGAUGAAAUAUGAAAUUUUAUUAAAAGAAAAAUGGGUGAAAAGAACAAAGUUUUGUCCAUCUUUGUUCAUCAUAGCCUAAAGUUAGAGAAGAGAAAGGAGAGGAGAAAGCUCUUGAAUGUUCGGUCACUUGGGGAAGAAAAUUGAAGGUAAGUUCAUGGUAGUUUGCUUCUAUCUUGAUGUUCAUGAGUUCUUCUUGAUUCUACCUUAACUCUUGAAGCAUAUUUUGGUUUUUAGUUGUGUUGUGAGCAUUUAGUCAUGAAUUAAAAUGAAGGAAAUGGUUGUUGUUUCAUGUUCUUUUGAUGAAAAAUGGAAGAUAGGUGAAGCUGAGCCAAACAAAUGAGCAUGCAUGUGCCUUAGAUGCUAAGGGGAAAAAUCGUUAACAUGUUGUGCUUUAAAAUGAUGAAAUGGAGAUUAUACUUAAGUAAAAUCAUAGAUAUGUGAUGAUUGAUUGGUGAUAUACAUGUUUAAAUAACAAGCAUGCAAGUUAGGUGUGAAAGAGUGAUUUGGUAAUAAAUCUGCUUGGGACAGCAGCAGUAACGUGAAUUUGGAAAAUCACCAUAAAUUGUGGGAGAUGAGUUAAAAGCUGCAUAAAUUAUAUAAUUAAAUCUAAAUGAGUCUAGUUUCAAAUGGAAUAAACGAGAACAUAUUUUGAAUUCUGUACAAUGAGAAAUUUGAUUCGUAAUGAGGAGUGGUUAGAUUAGUCAAACAAUGAAACAUGAGAAACUUUAAGAAAAAUCUGGUAUUGAUUGGCCAUACCAAAAAUUCUGAAAAUUUUAUGGAUAGAAGAUAUAUGAGUCUAUUUUCAGGAAAAAUUAACGGCACUUGAUUUGGAGUUUCGUAGCUCCAGUUAUAAAUAAUUUAGUGACUGUUGCUCAGGAAGACAACUUGCAGUGAAAUUAUGAUUAUGUGGUAAACAUUGACAAAAAUUUGUUAAUGAGUUGCUUAUUGAUUUCUUAUAAGCUUACUAUGAUCUGUAGGUGUGGUUGGCCGAAUAUUGUAAGGGGUUAAUACGUAGUUUGUAUUUGAUUAGUUACAUUAACGUGUUAGUAAUCCAAUUGUAGGCGGUUCGUGUGUGAAUCUCGUCAGCAUAUCGUCGCAAACAGGUGUGUAACUGACACCCUCUCAUAGACUAGAUUGGCAAAAGCCGAAAAGCCGAAAUGCCGAAAAGUCAGUAUUUUGGGAAUUUGCGAGUGUGCGAAUGCUCGUAAGAUAGUUGGGUUUGUAUAUUUGGCAAUUUAAAGUAAUAAACUACAGUACGCGCGAUUUCGUACAUUUUGAUAAUUUGGGCUUAAAGGGCCAAAGAUCGAGUUCAUGGGCCAACAGGCCCAAAUCGGUAAGUAUGCGCGGUAAGUGUUCUGAUAGUACGUAAAUAGUUAGGAUAUGCAUGAAAACCCUAAAAGCAGCUAAAUUACUAUAAUACCCCUAUGUAUGGAAAAUUACUGUUAUACCCCUAGGUGCAAAAUUACCGUUAUACCUAGGGUUAAUUUUGACUGAAAAGCAUGACGAUCUGAUUCUGUAUGAUGUAUGCCAUGAUUAUAUAUCUGUUGCAUGGGGACAUGGGUUAUAUUAUGGAGGAAGCAUCCCGGUGGCUAUGCCACAAUUAUCUGAUCUGGUGGCUCUGCCACAUAUAUCUGUUCUAGUGGUUAUGCCACGAUUAUCUGAUCUGGUGGCUCUGCCACAUAUAUCUGUUCUGGUGGCUCUUCCACAAUAUCUGUAUCUGGUGACUUCGUCACAAUAUCUGGCAGCCUCGCUGCGAUUUCUGUGGUGUGUAGCAGUUGGGUGGGUCGAGUAGUCUCCCCACAUGGUGUAAGGCUGGUACGGGGGUGUUAUGGAUGAAUCUGGGUUGGGAUUUGUGUAUUCAUGUAAUAUCUGUUCUGAUCUGUUAUGGGCCUAUGGGCUUUAUUCUGAAUUUCUAUUUUGGGCUAAGGCCAACUUAUUCUGUUUGUUUGGUUUGAGCUGAUAUAGGCUAUGGUUGGGUUAAUUUACACACUGAGUUUCCCCAAACUCACCCCUUUUAUUUCCAUCCACGCAGGUAAUCCCCAACCAUAGUGGGCUUGGAGCUGUGAGGGAAUUCGGAGUGGCCACCCGUUCUGAAAGUUUGAUUUUCUUCUGGUGAACUGGAUAUCCUUUUAUUUACGUUUGAGGUUUUGGGUUUUUUUUAAAUGUAAUAAGGCCGUUUAAUUAUUCUUGAUGGUUUUAAUAUGUGUUACUAAGAUAAGUAUUACUUAUUUUAACUGUUGAAGUUGGAAAGAUUUAGGGCGCGUUUUCAAAAACAACAAUUGAUUUCAAAAUACCACGAUAACAAGCAAAGCUUCCGCAAUGAAAGUAUUUUCCAAAAUUAAUCACUUUUCCUAAAAAGGACUUAAUCAAAUCGGUUUCCUAGAAAUAUACAUGACGUUAAGGUGUGGCAAUGGCGGUAUGCAUGUCUAGGAUUGGAUCCGAAUGGAGCUUGGUACUUAAGCAGUCCGAUAGACUCACCUCCUCUUUUCCGAUUUCCUACCUGGUGCACAGCUUCCAUUCACUUUAACCUAUAAUAAAAUUAUCUUUUAAAACACUAAGUAAGUUUUUCUGGAUCAACAAUAUAAAAUGUUUUGAACGCUUCGAUGUGGCAUGUCGAUCUGGCCAUAACGUCUGGGCCGGGUUUGGGGUGUUACAUUUAGUGGUAUCAGAGCCUAGGUUGCAACAACUCGACUGUGGAAUGGGUUUACAAAAACAAAGAUUUUCGAAAGCGAAAAUUUUAUAAAGAAUGCGAAAAACUCGAUUUUCAAAAUUUAGAUCUUUAGAAGGUGGCAUUCCGAAUCUCCGGCUCAAGUCUGUAAGUAUUCUGAAUUUUUUUGAUUAUUUUCCUGAAUUAUCUGUCUGUACUGAAACCCUAUUAGGAUACUCUAGAUAGGAUGAUACUGAAACCAUAGGAAAAUCUGAUAAGAGACUGAAACUGUAGCUAGACUUUAAUUCUGCGAAAACAAACUCUGAACUACUGUCUGAUUCAUAAAACAUCUGCAAUAAACACUGGAAUAUUAAUUGAUGCAUAAAAAUUCGUAAUCAAGAUAAUACGAUAUGAGUACAAGAGGCCGUGGACAGAGCCGAGGAAGUGCUCAAGCGAGAUCUUCGUCUUCGAGACAUAUGCCGGCGGUGGAUGCACCGGUACCAUCGACAACGGAAGUGGAGUCUCAUGAUCGUGGUGCCGGGGAUGACGCUCUGUCACAGGCAAUGCUUCGUGUUCUGGACAGGGUUGCCGGGACAAGUUCGGGCAACGAAAUUCAAGGAUCAAUUUCUGAACGACUCCGGGCCAACGGAGCGGAGAUCUUUAAGGGUGUGUCUGGUAUCGCCUCGAAUGUGGCAUAAUAUUGAUUGGAGGCUAUAGAACGGAUUAUAGACAACUUGGACUACUCUGAGGAGAUUGUGAGUGGGGUAUCUGUACUAAGUCCUUUAGGUCACUCGGUUAGGGUAGACAAACUGUAUAGGGAUAUACCCUUACAAACUCAAGGUAGGUUUUUCCCUGGAGAUCUGAUGGAGUUACCAUUCGGAGAGUUUGACCUCAUUUUGGGAAUAAACUGGCUUGUUAAGCAUAAGGUGGCCCUGGAUUGUGCUGCUAAACGAAUGGUGUUAAGGACCACAAAGGAUGAGGAGGUUAUAGUGAUAGGUGAGAGAAGGGAUUAUUUGUCCAAUGUGGUGUCGGCUUUAAGAGCUGAAAAGUGGAUUCGGAAAGGUUGUGAGGCCUAUUUGGCAUUUGUAAGUUAGUCAGAAGAGGAGGGAUUGACAGUGGAUAAGGUUAGGACCGUAAAGGAGUUCCAAGAUAUUUUUCCGGAGGAGCUUCCAAGAUUGCCUCCGAACCGAGAAGUUGAGUUUGGAAUAGAUUUUUUGCCUGGAACAGCGCCCGUGUCCAUCGCACCGUAUAGGAUGGCACCGAAGGAGUUAGUGGAGUUAAAGGCUCAAGUUCAAGAGUUGUUGGAUAGGGGCUUCAUUAGGCCAAGCAUGUCUCCAUGGGGAGCACCGGAGCUAUUUGUGAAGAAGAAGGAUGGUACAAUGCGGAUGUGCAUUGAUUAUCGCCAGUUUAACAAACUAACAAUUAAGAAUAAGUAUCCACUGCCAAGGAUUGAUGAUCUAUUCGACCAGCUUAGAAGAGCUUUUGUAUUUUCCACGAUCGACCUCCGAUCGGUCAAAGAGGUGGAUAUCCAUAAGACGACAUUCAAGACUCGGUAUGGUCAUUACAAGUUUUUGGUUAUGCCAUUUGGACUGACGAACGCUCCUGCAGCAUUUAUAGAUCUGAUGAAUCGGGUGUUCCAACCAUUCUUGGAUCGAUUCGUAGUCGUCUUCAUUGAUGAUAUCCUGGUAGAUUCUGAAACUGAAGCGAAACAUGAUGAGCAUCUCCGUAUAAUGCUGCGAGUGUUAAAAGAGAAGGAACUCUUUGUGAAGUUCAGCAAGUGUGAAUUUUGGUUGAGAGAGGUAACCUUCUUAGGACAUGUGGUCUCUGCCGAAGGGAUUAAGGUGGACCCUCGAAAGAUUGAAUCAAUUUUGGAGUGGAAGCCACCUAGGACGGUGUCGAAAAUUCAAAGUUUCCUAGGGUUGGCAGGAUACUACAGAAGGUUUGUGGAAGGUUUUUCUGUUAUGGCAGCACCCCUAACAAAACUCAUAAGGAAAGGAGAACCGUUUGUAUAUACUGAGAAGCAGCAGUGAGCUUUUGAGAAGUUGAAGAAAGUUCUGACUGAAGCACCUGUGUUAAUUCAGCCGGAGUCUGGGAAAGAUUUUAGUGUGUACAGUGACGCAUCACACGUGGGUUUGGGCUGCGUGUUAAUGCAAGAGGGUAAGGUGGUUGCAUAUGCAUCACAACAGCUUAAGCCUCAUGAGGGGAACUAUCCGACUCAUGAUUUAGAGUUGGCAGCAGUGAUAUUUGCACUUAAGAUUUGGAGACAUUACUUGUACGGAGAAAGGUGUAUUAUAUACACUGACCAUAAGAGUCUUAAGUAUUUGUUGACUCAGAAGGAGCUGAACCUUAGGCAAAGGAGAUGGAUUAAGUUACUUAAGGAUUAUGACUGUUCGAUCGAGUAUCACCCAGGCAAGGCUAAUAUGGUAGCCGAUGCUCUAAGUCGUAGAGCUGUAUCUGAUCUAAGAGCAAUGUUUGCUUGUCUGAGCCUGUAUGAUGAUGGAAGUUUGUUGGCUGAGUUGCAAGUGAGGCCAACCUGGGUGGAUCAGAUUAAGGAAAAGUAGUUAAACGAUGAGUCUUUGGUUGCUCGUUUUCAACAAGUUAAGGAAGGGGAAACUUCUGAGUUUGGAUUAAAUGGCGAAGGAGUUCUGUGUUUCCGAGGAAGAAUUUGUGUUCUGAAGGGCUCUGAUUUGAGGCAGACAAUAUUGAAACAUGGGAAACUUUAAGAAAAAUCUGGUAUUGAUUGGCCAUACCAAAAAUUCUGAAAAUUUUAUGGAUAGAAGAUAUAUGAGUCUAUUUUCAGGGAAAAUUAACGGCACUUGAUUUGGAGUUUCGUAGCUCCAGUUAUAAAUAAUUUAGUGACUGUUGCUCAGGAAGACAGCUUGCAGUGAAAUUAUGAUUAUGUGGUAAACAUUGACAAAAAUUUGUUAAUGAGUUGCUUAUUGAUUUCUUAUAAGCUUACUAUGAUCUGUAGGUGUGGUUGGCAGAAUAUUGUAAGGGGUUAAUACGUAGUUUGUAUUUGAAUAGUUAGAUUAGCGUGUUAGUAAUCCAAUUGUAGGCGGUUCGUGUGUGGAUCUUGUCAGCAUAUCGUCGCAAACAGGUGUGCAACUGACACCCUCUCAUAGACUAGAUUGGCAAAAGCCGAAAAGUCGAAAUGCCGAAAAGUCGGUAUUUUGGGAAUUUGCGAGUGUGCGAAUGCUCGUAAGAUAGUUGGGUUUGUAUAUUUGGCAAUCUAAAGUAAUAAACUACAGUACGCGCGAUUUCGUACAUUUUGAUAAUUUGGGCUUAAUGGGCCAAAGAUCGGGUUCAUGGGCCAACAGGCCCAAAUCGGUAAGUAUGCGCGGUAAGUGUUCUGAUAGUACGUAAAUAGUUAGGAUAUGCAUGAAAACCCUAAAAGUAGCUAAAUUACUAUAAUACCCCUAUGUAUGGAAAAUUACUGUUAUACCCCUAGGUGCAAAAUUACCGUUAUACCCCUAGGGUUAAUUUUGACUGAAAAGCAUGACGAUCUGAUUCUGUAUGAUGUAUGCCAUGAUUAUAUAUCUGUUGCAUGGGGACAUGGGUUAUAUUAUGGAGGAAGCGUCCUGGUGGCUAUGCCACGAUUAUCUGAUCUGGUGGCUCUGCCACAUAUAUCUGUUCUGGUGGCUCUUCCACAAUAUCUGUAUCUGGUGACUUCGUCACAAUAUCUGGCAGCCUCACUGCGAUUUCUGUGGUGUGUAGCGGUUGGGUGGGUCGAGUAGUCUCCCUACAUGGUGUAAGGCUGGUACGGGGGUGUUAUGGAUGAAUCUGGGUUGGGAUUUGUGUAUUCAUGUAAUAUCUGUUCUGAUCUGUUAUGGGCCUAUGGGCUUUAUUCUGAAUUUCUAUUUUGGGCUAAGGCCAACUUAUUCUGUUUGUUUGGUUUGAGCUGAUAUAGGCUAUGGUUGGGUUAAUUUACACACUGAUUUUCCCCAAACUCACCCCUUUUAUUUCAAUCCACGUAGGUAAUCCCCAACCAUAGUGGGCUUGGAGCUGUGAGGGAAUUCGGAGUGGCCACCCGUUCUGAAAGUUUGAUUUUCUUCUGGUGAACUGGAUAUCCUUUUAUUUACGUUUGAGGUUUUGGGUUUUUUUUAAAUGUAAUAAGGCCGCUUAAUUAUUCUUGAUGGUUUUAAUAUGUGUUACUAAGAUAAGUAUUACUUAUUUUAACUGUUGAAGUUGGAAAAAUUUAGGGCACGUUUUCAGAAACAACAAUUGAUUUCAAAAUACCACGAUAACAAGGACUUAAUCAAAUCGGUUUCCUAGAAAUAUACAUGACGUUAAGGUGUGGCAAUGGCGGUAUGCAUGUCUAAGAUUGGAUUCGAAGGGAGCUUGGUACUUAAGCAGUCCGAUAGACUCACCUCCUCUUUUUCGAUUUCCUACCUGGUGCACAGCUUCCAUUCAGUUUAACCUAUAAUGAAAUUAUCUUUUAAAACACUAAGUAAGUUUUUUUGGAUCAACAAUAUAAAAUGUUUUGAACGCUUCGAUGUGGCAUGUCGGAUCUGGCCAUAACGUCUGGGCCGGGUUUGGGGUGUUACAUUUAGUGGCAUCAGAACCUAGGUUGCAACAACUCGACUGUGGAAUGGGUUUACAAAAACAAAGAUUCUCGAAAACAAAAAUUUUAUAAAGAAUGCGAAAAACUCGACUUUCAAAAUUUAGAUUUUUAGAAGGUGGCAUUCCGAAUCUCCGGCUCAAGUCUGUAAGUAUUCUGAAUUUUUCUAAAUAUUUUCCUGAAUUAUCUGUCUGUACUGAAACCCUAUUAGGAUACUCUAGAUAGGAUGAUACUGAAACCAUAGGAAAAUCUGGUAAGAGACUGAAACUGUAGCUAGACUUUGAUUCUGCGAAAACAAACUCUGAACUGCUGUCUGAUUCAUAAAACAUCUGUAAUAAACACUGGAAUAUUAAUUGAUGCAUAAAAAUUCGUAAUCAAGAUAAUACGAUAUGAGUACAAGAGGCCGUGGACGGAGUCGAGGAAGUGCUCCAGCGAGAUCUUCGUCUUCGAGACAUAUGCCGGCGGUGGAUGCACUGGUACCAUCGGCAACGGAAGUGGAGUCUCAUGAUCGUGGUGUCGGGGAUGAUGCUCUGUCACAGGCAAUGCUUCGUGUUCUGGAAAGGGUUGCCGGGACAAGUUCGGGCAACGGAAUUCGAGGAUCGAUUUCUGAACGACUCCGGGCCAACGGAGCGGAGAUCUUUAGGGGUGUGUCUGGUAUCGCCUCGAAUGUGGGAUAAUAUUGAUUGGAGGCCACAGAACAGAUUAUGGACAACUUGGACUACUCUGAGGAGAUUGUGAGUAGGGUAUCUGUACUAAGUCCUUUGGGUCACUCGGUUAGGGUAGACAAACUGUAGUCUUUAGAAAUUUUUCAGAGUAAUUCUCGAAACAUGUUUGUUACUUUAGGGCCUAGGAGUAGUAAGAUUAUGUUUGUGGAAAGAGGUCUAUGUUCAUCUAUAAUUAUUUAAAUAAAACAUAACUUUUAUCAAUUUAAACGAGUAUUGUUUCAUUUUUAUCGACCAAUAUUCCUUUAAAUUCUGGAAAUUCUUAUUCUUUUAUUCAUAGCACAUAAACAAUCAUUCUUAGAUUCAUUCAUUCUUUGUAUAUCCUUUCAUACCACCACAGGUCCCUAGAUAUCAAUGAUAUGAGCGAUGAUACUGCAGCUCCUAAUUUCUCUAGCGAGCAAAACGUGUGUUUAGAGGAACUUUAGGAUUUUGAAGAUGUUCAAGAUUGUGACAUUUCUCUCGAUCUAUUAAGAAUGGUAAAGCAAGAGGAUAAACAAAUCAUGCCACAUGAGAAAAAGGCAAUAGAGAAUAUAACCCUAGAGGAAGGAAAGAGUUGAAAAUCGGAACCCUAAUUAGCGAGGACACAAGACAUGGUCUGGUUGAGUUGCUUUGAGAGUUCAAUGAUAUCUUCGCCUGGUCAUAUCAGGAUAUGCCCGGAUUGAGUACCGACAUUGUGGUACAUCGACUUCCGAUAAGACAGGAUUGUAAGCCAGUCUAACAGAAGUUGCAAAGAAUGAGGCCAGAUAUCGUUUUGAAAAUAAAGGAUGAAGUCAAGAAGCAGUUCGAUGCAGGAUUCUUGCAAGAAGUGAAGUACUCCGAAUGGGUAGCUAACAUUGUGCCUAUUCCUAAGAAGGAUGGAAAGGUACGAAUGUGUGUUGAUUACAGAGAUCUGAACAAAGCAAGCCCAAAGGAUAAUUUUCCUUUACCACACAUUGACACUUUAGUAGACAACACAGCGGGAUAUUCGUUGUUCUCCUUUAUGGAUGGUUUCUCAGGAUACAAUCAGAUAAGGAUGCAUCCGGAGGACAUGGAUAAAACCAUAUUCAUAACCUUGUGGGGCACCUUUUGCUACAAAGUAAUGCCAUUUGGACUAAAAAACGUAGGGGCAACAUACCAACGGGCCAUGGUGAACUUGUUUCACGACAUGAUGCAUAAGGAUAUUGAGGUAUAUGUUGAUGAUAUGAUUGCCAAGUCGCGCACAGAAAAAGAGCACAUUGAGGUCUUGAGAAGAUUGUUCUUGAGGUUGAGAAAAUUUCAGUUGAAGCUCAAUCCAGCAAAGUGUACUUUUGGAUCCAGAUUAGGAAAGUUAUUAGGCUUCGUAGUCAGUGAAAAAGGAAUUGAAGUCGACUCAGACAAGGUCAGAGCCAUACGAGAGUUACCUCUGCCACGUACUCAGAAGGAAGUUCGAGGAUUCCUAGGAAGAUUGAAUUACAUUGCUCGGUUCAUUUCACAACAAACCGAGAAAUGUGAUCCUAUCUUUCGCCUUCUCAGAAAGCACAAUCAAGGUACUUGGGAUGAGGAAUGCCAGAAUGCUUUUGAAGAGGUCAAGCGGUAUUUGUUGAAUGCUCCGUUAUUCUCUCCACCUAGCCCAGAUAAACCAUUAAUACUGUACUUGUCAGUGUUCAGUAAUUCUAUGGGAUGUGUGCUUGGCCAGCAUGACGAAUUAGGGAAAAAGGAGAAGGCAAUUUAUUAUCUCAGUAAGAAGUUCACUGACUGUGAGAUGAGAUAUUCACCAAUUGAAAAGUUGUGUCGUGCGCUGAUUUGGACAACUCGAAGAUUAAGACAGUACAUGCUAUACCAUACCACUUGGCUCAUCUCAAAACUUGAUCCGUUGAAAUACAUGAUGGAGUCAACGGCUCUAAAUGGGAGAACGGCGAGAUGGAAAAUUUUGCUUUCGGAGUUUGAUAUAGUCUACAUAAGUCAGAAGGCUAUAAAAGGAAGUGUGGUAGCAGACUUCUUGGCUAGUAGGGCUCUAGAGGAUUAUGAGCCAUUGAACUUCGAUUUUCCAAAUGAGGAGUUGAUGUGUAUAGCAAUGACUGAAAAUUCUUCUUGGAAGCUCAAUUUUGAUGGGGCUCUAAUGUAGUCAGAAAUAGAAUUGGGGCAGUCUUGGUAUCUCCGAAUGGCGAUCAUUAUCCUUUUACGUGCAAGUUGGACUUUGAUUGCACGAACAAUAUGGCUGAAUAUGAAGCAUGCAUCAUGGGACUUCAAGUAGCUAUAGAGCGAGGUAUAAAAACCUUAGAAGUAUAUGGAGAUUCGGCAUUGGUUGUUUAUCAGCUUAGAGGUGAAUGGGAGACAAGGGACCCUAAAUUGAUUAGUUAUCAAAAUGUGGUUUUGGGGUUGCUUGAGGAAUUUGAUAGCAUCACCUUCAAUUAUCUCCCACGAGACGAAAAUCAGAUGGCAGAUGCUUUAGCAACCUUGGCCUCAAUGAUCAAGGCGAAUAAAGAAGAAGAAAUAAAGCCAAUUCAAAUGAGAGUUUACGAGGCUCCAGCUUAUUAUUGUAACAUUGAGAAGGAAGGAAAUGACAAUAACCCCUAGUAUCAAGAUAUAUUGCGAUAUGUGAGAGAUCGUAAAUGCCCUGAACAGGCCAGUGAAAAUGAUAAAUGAACUUUGAGGAGGUUAGCUUGCGACUAUGUUUUAGAUGGAGAUAUCCUGUACAAGAGACGGAAAGAUCAAGUACUUUUGAGAUGUGUCGAUGCUGUGGAAGCUAAGCUAAUUUUAGAAGAAGUUCAUGAAGGUGUAUGCGGGACGCAUGCAAAUGGGUUCACGAUGGCAAGGCAAAUCAUGAGGUUUGGCUAUUAUUGGGCCACCAUGGAAGGGGACUGUAUUAACUAUACCAAGAAAUGCCAUAAGUGUCAGAUUUAUGGAGACAAAAUUCAUAUACCACAUUCACCUUUACAUGUUAUGACUUCUCCAUGGCCCUUCUCCAUGUGGGGCAUGGAUGUUAUCAGACCAAUAUCACUAAAAGCUUCGAAUGGACAUCGGUUUAUCUUCGUGGUAAUUGACUACUUUACAAAAUGGGUAGAGGCCGCCUCUUAUACUAAUGUUACUAAGUCAGCAGUGAGUCGAUUCUUAAAGAAAGAGAUCAUUUGUCGGUAUGGAAUGCCUGAGAAGAUCAUAUCUGACAAUGCAUUGAAUUUGAAUAACAAAGCGAUAGCGGAGGUUUGUGACCAAUUCAAAAUCAAGCAUCAUAAUUCUUCCCCUUAUCGUCCAAAAAUGAAUGGGGCAGUAGAGGCUACCAACAAGAACAUUAAGAAAAUAGUGGGGAAGAUGGCUGAGACCUAUAGAGAUUGGCAUGAGAAGUUACCGUUUGCACUCCUGGCUUAUCGAACAUCUGUUAGAACCUCUACUGGGGCAACCCCAUUCUCGUUAGUUUAUGGGAUGGAAGCAGUGUUACCUAUUGAAGUAGAAAUACCUUCUCUUCGAGUUUUGACAGAGAUAAGGUUAUAUGAGGCUGAGUGGGUUCAAUCCCGGUAUGACCAGUUGAACUUGAUUGAGGAAAAGAGGCUAAAAGCCAUUCGACAUGGUCAGAUGUAUCAGAAGCGAAUGAUGCGAGCUUAUGACAAGAAAGUUUGACCAAGAGAAUUCCAUGAGGGAGACCUUGUACUGAAAAAGAUCCUUCCUAUUCAAAAGGAUUUUAGAGGAAAAUGGAUGCCGAAUUGGGAAGGGUCGUAUGUCAUGAAAAAAGCUUUCUCCGGUGGUGCAUUGAUCUUAGUGAAAAUGGAUAGGAAAAGUUUACCCAAUCCAGUGAACUCGGACUCAGUUAAAAAAUACUUUGUCUAAAGAAGAAGAGAAUCUAAGGUGAAAACUCGUAAAGGGCGCCUUGAGAUUUAAAAAAAAAAAACAGAGAGGCCAAGGUGAAAACCCGCAUAGGGCACCUUGUGACCAAAGGGGUUUUGAGUUGAAAACCCGAAAGGGCAGCUCAAAUUUUGAAGAGUACACAAUGAUCUUGCUACAAUGAGUGAAGAAUGCUGCAAACUGGGGCAUCAACAGAGUACUUAGGAUCUUUUAAACAUAUGUUGAACUCAAGAAAGACUUCAUGGAGCUGGUGUAUAGGCACUCAAGCGGCGAUAUCUAGAGGAUCUAACUUUUAUCUUGUUUGCUAUCUUUAGACUCUAUUUCUUCUAGAAGAUAGAUUAGCAGAUUAAUUCCCUUUUGUAUCUUUUUGAUAAUUUAUUCAAAUCUAAUUAUUCUUAAAAAUUUAUUCAUCUUUCACUAUUCUUUAAGUAUGUUGCAUUGAAAUAAUGAUAGAUGAACUAAAUAUGUUCACAAAUGAAGUUUUGCGCAUUACUCUGAAAUUUCUAGAUAACACAAGAAACUAAAACAGGACAAUUGUUCGAGAAAUUCAUGUAAGUAAGGGAUGAAAGAACUCGAGGAAUUCCUUUCUUCCAGUCCAAAAGGAAAAUAGACAAAGCCAAUAAUUCAGUUCUUACAGACAUCCUCAAUGGAUCGUAGCAUUGGAGGACGGCUUACAGGCUGAGCAUGAAUGAAACUUUGAGAAAAGAAAAGACAAAUGAAGGAAUGAAUGAUGACGUCUAGGAUAGGGGUCAUAUUCAUGACAUUUUUCAUCAUAACAUGUUUAAUUAGGAAAAUUCGACUCACUUCGAGCAUGGCAUCCUAAAUUAUCAAGCAUAAUCAUUUUACAGGUUAUCGGAGACAACGCGCUUUAAAACCCAAAACAGUAGGGAAACAGGCCGCAGCAUAGCAGAUCUGACCUUCAUCAGGGCAGAUCCAAGAUGACAGAUCUUAUCUCUCUGUAUUCGGCGGGGAGCAGAUCGAAGAUAUAGCUGAUUUGGCUUUCACGUGUUUACGAUGAAGCAAAUCUAAGAUGAUUUGUCGUCUCUGUAUUGUUAGAGAACAAAUCAAAGUUUGGCAUUUCCACUUUGAUAUAAGGCAAACACAUAGCAGAUCUUACCUUUAGAUGUUUACGCUGAAGCAGAUCCAAGAUUACAGUUCUUAUCUCUCUGUAUUCGGUGGGGAGCAGAUCGAAGAUAUAGCUGAUUUGGCUUUCACGUGUUUACGAUGAAGCAAAUCUAAGAUGAUUUGUCAUCUCUGUAUUGUCAGAGAACAAAUCGAAGUCUGGCAUCUCCACUUCAAUGGAGAACAGACACAUAGCAGUCUCACCUUCAGAUGUUUACACUGAAGCAGAUCCAAGAUGACAAAUCUUAUCUCUCUGUAUUCGGCGGGGAGCAGAUCAAAGACAUAGCUGAUUUGGCUUUCACGUGUUUACGAUGAAGCAAAUCUAAGAUGAUUUGUCAUCUCUUUAUUGUUAGAGAACAAAUCGAAGUCUGGCAUCUCCACUUCAAUGGAGAGCAGAUACACAGCAGAUCUGACCUUCAGACGAUUAGACUGAAGCAAGAUCUAAGAUGAUUUCGCAUCCUUGUGCUUACAAGGACAAAUCAAAGACAUAGCUGAUUUGGCUUUCACGUGCUUACGAUGAAGCAAAUCUAAGAUAAUUUGGCAUCUCUGUAUUAUCAGAGAACAAAUCGAAGAAGCAGAUUUGGCGUUCUUAUGAUCGAAGAUAUCGACAUGACAGUCAAGGCCGGGACCAUCACCGCCAUCAUCGAAGCCUUCAUCACCGCCACCAUCAACGCGCAAGACACGCCAGAAUCUGGCAUUGGCUCCAUUAGUGUGCAAACAUCAGUGAUUGAGCAAGAUUCUCGUGGGUUACCUGAGAACAAAAGGGAAACUAAAAUAAAGAGAUUUCAGCAGAUCACAAUCAAAGAUAUGAUACAGCGAUAAGAAAUGGAAAGAAAUCUUUGAUUUCUUUCCAGUUUAUGUAAAUCACAGUAAUGGCUACAAAAGCCUGAAUCAAACAUUGUAAAAGGACUUUUCUUACGAAAUAGAAAUAUAUAUUCACACAUAUUCAUUCAAAAAUAUCAACAGUCUCUCAAAAGGUGAUUUACAUCGCAUAUCUUGUGCUUAUAUUUUGAAUAUAUAUGAACUAUUCUAACCUGCAUGAGUAAGGAUCUAAGGGAAGAGAGAUUACCCGUGGAAGGACGAAGGUUUUUAAGCCUUCAGACCACCGUGUACGACGGCGCGUGAGGCGCGUGUGCAAACACUGCACCGUGGCCGGAGGUCGGAGCUGGGACCUCUCUCUUCCCCUCUGUAGAGUUUUUUUUUUGUUUUUUUUAAAGACCAGUGUUAAAAUGAUCUUUAAGCUGCAAAGUUGGCUUAUAUAGCCUCUUCGAAACGACAUCGUUUCUGCUUAACUCAAUAAGCUUAAAACGGUGUCAUAUUAAGCCAUAGGAUCCGCGCGUUGACCCGAUUACCCGGGGAGGAUCCGCGUGUUUUUAGAAUUAGGUUAAUUACCCAAUCGGUCCUUUCACCUCUUUUAAUUUAUAAUUACGUAUUAUUUGAUUUUUUAAUUUGACCCUAAUAUUUUACAAUUGUUUCAAUUUAGUCUCGACAGUUGUUAAAUUACAUUCUGGGAAACGUUGCCGUUUUAAGGAAUAGGGCAAUUUGCCCAAUGAGUCCCUCUUGUUUUACGCGCGUUUUAAUUAGGCCCUUAAUUCACUGUUAUUUCUUUUAAAUUUGCCCUCAGAUUUUAUUGAACUUCAAAUUUAACCCUAUAUAUUUAUUAUAUUGUUAUUUGUUUUAUUUUUAACCUUAUUUUUAUAUUAUAUAUUAUAAAACUAUUUUAUUAUAUAUUAUUUAUAUUAUUAUUAUUUAUUAUAUAUUAUUUUUCACAAGUUAUUAUUAUUUUACAUCAUUAUUUAUAUAUUAUUAUAUUAUAUGUUUAUUAUAUAUUUAUAUUAUUUUUAUAUAUAUGCUUUUAUAUUAUAUAUUAUAAUUAUUUUAUAUAUUAUUAAGUCAUUUUUAUAUUAUUAUACAUUUUUAUCUAUAUAUUAUUAUCAUUAAAGGUUUUAAACUUGUAUUAUAUAUUUAUCUUUAUUUAUAUUCUAUUAUUACACAUUUUGAAGAUAUUAUAAUAUUAUAAUACAUAGAUUUCAUCAUUAAUUAUUCAUUUUAAACUUAUAUUUAUAUAUAUUAUAUAAUUAUUUCAUUAUAAAUAUAAAUUCUUUUGCAUAUUUUAUAUUCUAUACAUUAUUUUACUAAACCAAUAUCUUUUGUAUUUUUUAUGUAAUUAUUAUGCUUAUAAAUACAUUUUUAUUAUAUAUUAUAUUUUAAAAUUAUUAUUAAAUAUCACAUUUUUAUUAUUUUUUUAUAUUAUACAUAUAUUUUUUUAAAACUUAUUAUUAUUAUUAUACAAUAUUUAUUUUUACUUUAGUAUUAAUGUAUUAUUGUUAUGUUAUAUGUUAUAUCUUAGACUUUUAUAUUUUAUUUUUAAAUGAAUAUUUUUUAUAUAUGUACAUUGAUAUAUUGUAUAUCAUGCAUCAUUAAUAUGAUUAAAUAUAUGUUGAAUUAUAUGUUUAGGGAUUUUUACCUAUUUCUUCUUUAAUAUGUAUUCCGUUUUAUGUAUAUUUUUCUUAUUUAAAAAUUGUCAUGUUUUAUUUCUUAUAUAUGUUGAUUAGUGUAUGAUAUUUAUGCCGUUAUGCUCUUACUUUCCUAUCAUUGUAACAUGUUAUUUCGUAUGUUAUGUUAAUAUACUCCUUCAUGCAUCAAUUUUUUUAAAAAAAAAACGAGACUUCAAAUUUUUCAAAAAAAUAAAAAGGCAAUGAUCGGUAUUUGGAAGCUUCGAGAAAAGUAGUGCCCUAACUUAUUGGGUUGCGACUUUUCUCGUUGAGUUCGAAUAAUCAAGUACCCUUCUAAGUUUUAAAGGUUUUCCAAGUGCAAGCCACUAUCUUGGAAUUUCAAAGCAAUAUGUCCUAACUUAUUGGAUAUAGCGUUUUGUGGUUUCAAGAUAGGAAUUUCCAAAAAAGGUUAACUUAAUGUCAAUACUUUGAUACGAGUGAAUCCAAUUUUCAAAAUUAAAAUAUUUUAAAGUGGACUACAUCUUGAAAUUUUUGAAUUUCCGAAAUUAAAGACACUUGAUAAUCAAUUAGGUACCAAUUUUUGGGCGUUACGAGGGUGUUAACCCUUCCUCGAACGUAACCGACUCCCGAACCCGUUCUUUUAUUUCGCAGACCAAAACUAAUGAUUUUAAAACAAAAUGUUUUUAAGGUGAUCCGAUCGCACCUAAAAAGAUUGGUGGCGACUCCUGUUUUCGUUUUAAAGUCGAUUCCCAUUUUCCAAAACUCGAUUUAAAAAUGGUUUGCUCACCUAUAACAAUCAACCUACUGGUUUGGUGGUAAGGUUUUAGUAUUCCUUUAGAUCUCAAGUUCAAAUCUUGCUGUGUGCGAAAGUGGUAAUUAACCUAAACCCUCUUAAAGAGUGAGUCAAAUGCAAUCUCUAAAGUGAUAACAGAUAAAUUGUGAUAUUUUUUUAUUUUCUUUUUAAAUUGAGAAUUAUUUCUCAAAACUCUCUCUCUUGCCAUCCCACUUCCCCCUCAUUCUCCACUUUGUUUUGCACGUUGUUUUCUUUUGUUGUUAUAACGCCCUUUUGCCAAAUUUUCUUUGUUUUCUAUUCCUUCCCAUCUCUUCUGUCUUUCCCUUUUUCUUUAGUCUCCAUAAGCUCACAAUGAACACCGUAAUGUUCUUUUCUUUUGCCACCCUAUCUUCUGCAUUGGCGGUCAUCACAUCGUAUCGCACAUAACCAAUAGCCAUUGUAAUCUAUCGCUCCUGUGCGCCACCAACCGACAGCAGCAACAACCUUUCGCAAUAGCCCUAAACCCUAAACCCUAAUAGCCCUUUAGCGACCCGUGGCUGAUUCUCUCAACAUUCGAUAGCCCUUAUUUGCCACCCUUAUCCAUCCUCUACAUAGAUCAAGUAUAGGUCCUAACAUUUUGUAAUAUGUGUAUGUGUGUAUCUUAUUCAUAAGUGAAUCGUGUGAUUUGGUGAUGACUGGAUGCAUGAGUAAAUAAAUCUUGUUGGGUUGUAUAUGUGUGAAUCCUAACCCUAUGUGAUAUAUGAGUGUAUGAUAACAAUCAAAUGAUGUUGAGUUUGAAUUGAUAUCAUUCGAUUGUGACCUGUUUUUUCUUUUGGCGGAGGCCAAAUGUAAGUAUUUCCCCUAACUAUAAAAUUUGGUGUAAUCCGGUUGACUGUGGGUGUGUUUCAGUUAUGGCUGAAUACGGGUAAAUGAGUUAGGUAACAUGAUCGAAGGUGAGUAUGCCCUAAUUUGAGUUAGUCAAAUGCAUAUGAGGCCCUACUGUGUUGCUGAAAUGAUACUUGCUUGUUUUUGUGAUGGUCGAAUGUGCCAAUAGCAUGUUUUUGAUAUGUUAAACUAUAUGUGCAAUUAGUAUGUUCUGAUCAAUUUUAUCUGAAUAUGCCUAUAAUAGGCCCAUUUCGCCCGGGCCUAUACCAAAUCCAAAAUAGAAAAAUAAUAAAACCAAAAUAAUUUAAAAGUCAAGUCCAUUUACAUUUUCCAAUUAACCCAAAUAGCCCAGCACCCCAUGGCCCCAAACUAAACAGAAUUUUCAGCAGAAACCCUAAGGUUCCCUUGCGCCAAACAGGCUUCCAGCAGCUUCCAGCAUCGCUGCUGCCUCCGGCAAGUCCCACGUGCGCCAUCAGCCAGCUGGCUCCAUACCUGCAACAAAUGGAAAUCACAACAGCAAAUGACAAAUAAUAUAACAGAAUAAUAGCAAACAAAUGAAGGGGGAAAAGGGGAAAUUUGUAAAUUUUGAUUUUGGCUAUAUAAAGCCAAUUGUAUACUAUAAAUAGGGGAUUAUUAUUUUUUUUUUCACAGAAAUACAGAAGCAUAUUGAAAGAGAAAUAAAAAUCGAAAAGGUGAUUUCCAGUCUUAUUGUUUUCCUUUUUUUCUUUUUCUUUUUUUGCGUUUUUCUUCUUUAGGAUUACAUGAAAUUUUAAAACAAAAGAAAGAAGUGGAUUUACAUGAAAUUUUAAAAUAAAAAGAAGGGAUUUACCUUAGUAGUCAAUAACCGUCUUCUUCGUCGCAAUCGAAGCAGGGACGGGAUUUUGAAAUCGAAGCAAAUAGUCUUCGAGGUUUAACCCUCCAUGGCUCCUCUGUGCAUCUUGAGUCACUGAUCAAAACGAAGCAAGAACAUGCAAAUAAGGGGGCUAUGGGGAUCGGCCGAAGGGAGAAGAGUGAAUUAGAGUGCUUCUGUCUUCUCUCUUUUGUUAGUAUUUUAGGUUUUUUUGUUUUUUCCUUUUGUUUUUUAUGAAACAAACAAAAUGGCACCGUUUGAGAAAGGUAAAGGUUUGCGUGAAAACUUGAUUUAGAAGUUGGAUUUGUGCCUUUUUAUUUAAAUGGGUAAUUUUCAUGUUUGAUCCUUCCUCCUUGCACCGCGUUGUAAUCUGCUCCCAUUUGCAUUUGAUUUGCUUUAUUUUCUUUUAGAUUAUUCCCAAAAUUUGAAGUACUUUUAUGUUUUAGUCCGCAUCUCAACACAAUGUUUCAGGAUCAGGGAUUAUUUCAAUCUUGAUCCCUGUGAAUUCAUGUGUGUUAUAUAUGAGUCUCCAUUAGUAGUUUACUUAUUUUGUAAAUUAUCUUUUUAUUUUACUUUGAUUUCAAUUAAGUAUUUUAUUAGAUUUAUGUUAUAAAUUUGGGUUUAUUCACUCAUACAUUUUCAGUCCUUUUAUUAAUGUAUGUAUAUUCAUCAUUAUUUUAUUUUCAUUUUUGUUUUUUUAUUGUUUAUAUUAUUUGUAAUGUUAAUAUUAAUUGUAUUAUUUGUAUUGUUGGUUACUUAUUUGUUGUAAUUUGAAUAAUUGAAGUUCCCCAUGUUGCAUACUAUUUUAUGUAGUGUUUUAUGCGUUAUUAUACAUGUAUAUACCUCAUAAUAAUUGGUUUUAUUCCAUGAACAUUAUUAACAUUAAAUUAUUAUAUACGUUUAACUAUUUUUUUUUCACAUAUUUAUGUUAUAUAUGUAUAUGUUUUUUUCAAAAUGAAAUCGCAUGUUGUAUACAUUAAUUAAAUUUUAACUAUACAUAUACAAAAAUUAUUGGUAUAUAUAAUUUAAAUACAUUUUUAAACAUUAGUAUUUUUAUACAUAUAAUUUCUUUUAGAUUUAUUCACAUAUCUUUCUUAUUCAAAAAGAAAAUCCCACAUAUUUUUGUGUAUUAUUUAAGUUAUUAUUAAACAUAUAUUUAGAACUUAUAUUUAAUUUGUAUUCAUUAUUAAAGCCAAGAUAUUCUUAUACAUAUAUAUUUUUUAAAUAAACUCACAUAAUGGUGUUUUUAAAAUUAUUAUGUAUAUAAGAUAUGGUUAAUUUUAUAAUUCAUAUUUUAAUUAAAUGAUAUUUUGACAUAUAAUUAUUUCUAACAUUUUUUCACAUGUAUAUGGCACAUAUUAAAUUAUUUUUAUUAUGGUACAUGUUAUUAUUUUCAUAUAACUUUAUGUAAAUAUUUUUCUAUGUAUAUAUAUCGUCUUUUAAAAUUAUUUAUGUGUAUAAUAUUUUUAAAAACCCUUUUAAAUCAUAUAAUUUAUUGUAUCUCAUAUUAUCCUUAUGUUUUUUUUUCAUAUAUAUAUUUUGUUAUUUAUAUAAUUUGCAUAUUUACUUCAUUUUUUAUACAUUAAUAAUUUCAUUCUUUUUAUCAAUAAUUAUACCCAAUGUUUACUUGUAUAUAAAAGUUUCAUAAAUUUACUUUGUAUAUUAUUUUAUAUCAUGUAUUGUUAUUCCUUCAUAUUUAAUACAUUAUUUAAAUUAUCUUGUGAAUUAUCAUUUUUUGAAUAAAUUUGUGUUUUAAAUAUUUUGUAUAUGAUUUGAUUUGAACUUUGAAAUUUAUAAUAACUAUUUCAAUAAACAUAUAUCCCAAGUUUUAUGCAAAUGUGUCGACUUAUAUAUAUCUUAUAUGAUCAUUAAUUCUUCAUUUUGUUUCAUAUAUAUUUUUGUACAUCAUUUUAUUUUGUGUUAUGAUCAUGUAUAUUAUUUUUAUAUUAAUUAUUCAUUAUCCAUGCUUAAAGAAUUUUUUUUGUUACAUUAUACGUAGAAUGAUUGUAAGAUGUAUUAAGCAAGGUUUAUUGUAUUUUGAGUAUAUUAUUUCAUAUUUAUUAUUUUUUACAAUGCAUUAAAUAUUUCAUCAAUUUUAAAAUGAAUAAACAUGUCUUUAAGCAAAUUUCUAAAUUUCUGUUAUUCAAAAAAUCUGAAAUAAGGCAAUAUCUAAUGUUUGGGGAAUUCGAAAAAUUGUGCUCAAUCGUACUGGGUAUGACUUUUCCGGUGAACCAAAUAUUUGGAUAACCCCUUUUAUGAUUUUAAUUUUUUUUUUCAAAAGUUAAACAUUGAUCGCAUCUUAAAGGUAUAAGGGAUCGUAUCCAAUCGUACUGGGUAUGAAACUGCAUAUCUUUGGAACGAGAGAUUUUUGACCACUAAUUUGAGCUAUUCAAACAUUUUUUUAUAUACUUUGGAAAAUCUUUUCUUUUAAAAUUUUUUAAGGACAGCAUCAAAUCAAUUUGGUACCAGUUUUUGGGUGUAAUGAGGGUGCUAACCCUUCCUCAUGCGUAACCAACUCCCGAACUCAUUUUUUAUUUUACCUAAACCAAAUUUAUUUUUCAUUGAAUAAAGCGUUUUAAUAGAUGGUCCAAUCACACCUAAAUCAAGAGAUUGGUGGCAACUCCACACUCGGUUUUAAAAGUCGAUCUCUAUUAUUUUUUAAAUAAAAAAGGGUUUCGACAGCUUGGUGACUCCGUUGGGGAUUGAACGAAGAGAGCCAGGCCAUAAAAUUGAUUAUUUGGUGUCCUUUUGUCAAAGAAUUGAAAAUUUGUUUUGAAAAUCAUGAUUCUUUUAAUUGCAUUUGUUUGCAUGAUUGUUGUGGUUCGAGUAUUGUAGAAUAAUAUGGCAUUGCAUUGCAUGACCGCUGUGGUUAUACCUGUUAAGUGGGAGUAAGAAACUAUGCUUUCGUGAGGUUUUCACCUCCGUAUGGGCUAGUGGAUUGCUUCCGGGAUACAUCCGUACCUAUGGUUUCGUGAGAUUUUCAUCUCCGCAUGGUCAUAAGGAAAUGUAUUCCCCUGAAUUGAACUCGAUUCAUAUGAGCCUAUAAUGGGUGAGAAUUGAGGAAUCUAUUGGUUCAGGUACCCUUUCUCUAGAACUGAACCACAUAUAGUGAACCUUGAGAAUCCACCUUACGUAGAACCUUGCCCAAAUUUAGUGGUCAUCUGAAUAGGUACUUUAUUUGAUAUUUAUUUCACUUGUACUAACGUGUUUUAUUUUUGUUUUGUUUAUAAUUGCAUUGCAUUACAUUAUCAUAGAAAGGAGGUGUUGAUUCAUAUUUGAUUGCUAAAUAGAAUAGCUUGUCAUAAGAAAAUGAAUUUCCUGAUAAAGUGGAUUAUAAUAUGGUUGUUUGAAUUGACGGAAGAAUGCUGACAGUUCGUGGAGAAAAACAAGUCUUUGCCUGAAGAUUCAAGCUGAUAAAGAUCGUUCGAGAGCCGUUGCAUCUCAAUUUUCUUAAUAGGAGCUAGUAACGUCGUGAGGAUAAUAAGUCGUAGCCUAGAUCAAGCAAAAAAGAGCUAGUGGAGGCAUUUGCGAGAUUUGGAUUUCACGAAGAAAAUGGAUCGAUGUCUUCACCUAGAAUAUGAAAGCAAGACCGUAUAUGUAAUUCGUUUUAUGUAAAGGGAUUUGUUUUCUAGAAAAGUUGUUCUAAUGUAAUUAGAUUGAAAACCAACACUUCUCUUUCUUUUGCAUUCAUCCCAUGCAUUUGCAUUGCAUUGCAUCAUUUCAUCAUUUGCAUUAAAUUUUCAUAAAAGGGAUCCCUAAUUAGUUGAAAUCAUUUCACUUAAUCUGGGAACCAACACAAAAUUUACCAACCAAGCGUCAUUACGAUACCCGUGCUAAGAUAAAAGAUAUGGACAAAAGAUUGGAAAGACUUGAACAACUUCAAAGAGAGAUGCAAGACCAGUUACAAAUACAGAUGCAAGAGCAACUGGCGAAGAUUAGGCAAGAUAUGAGGGAUCUGGUGCUAGAGUCUCAAAGGAAUAUGUUGAACCAGUUGUCUCAAUUGCUGAAAAAGGGGCUUGAAGAAAGAAAAAGUUCAGUGAUCAACAUUGGGAAAGACAAUGAGGACCUUCCGGGUUUUACCCCAGUAAGUGCUCAGACGUAUCCGCAAGGUGUACCUAUUGUCAAAAAUCAGUAAUAUCAGGCUGGUACCUUUGAUUAUCCGACAGGUUCAGGCUCUAAUUCGGGGGGCAACCCAACCAAUCUUGAAGUUCUUGAUCUAGAUGAAAUGGAAAAAGUAGAGAGGGAAUUGCCAAGACAAGUUGAGGAUCGGUAUAGGUGGUUGGAGGAAAAAUUGAAAGCAAUAGAGAAUAUCGACUUCUACUGUGGAAUUGAUGCUAAGGAUCUAAGUUUGGUCCUCGAUUUAGUACUCCCGCCAAAAUUUAAAACUCCAAAGUUUGAAAGGUAUAAUGGGACUAGUUGUCUCGAAGCUCAUAUCACAAUCUUCUGUCGAAGGAUGACAGGAUAUGUUAAUAAUGACCAACUGUUAAUCCAUUGCUUCCAAGACAGUUUGAUCGGGUCAGCAGUUAAAUGGUACAAUCAAUUGAGUCGUGCUAAAAUCAAAUCAUGGAAAGACUUAGCACAAGCCUUCAUGAAGCAGUAUAGUCACGUAACAAACAUGGCACCUGACAGAAUUACCUUGCAGAAUAUGGAAAAGAAGCAAAAUGAGAGCUUCAGACAAUAUGCCCAAAGAUGGAGAGAGGUAGCAACACAAGUCCAACCGCCUCUUUUGGAAAAGGAGACCACGAUGCUUUUUAUCUAUACUCUGGAAGCCCCGUUCAUUGACUAUUUGUUGGGAAGUGCUACUUUGAGCUUUUCAAAUAUAGUAAUGUCCGGUGAGAUGAUUGAAGAUUCGAUAAGAAAUGGGAAAAUAGAUAUGGGAGAAGGUGCCAAAAGGUCAACUCCGGGAAACAAGAAAAAUGAAGUGAACAUCGUUGGUCAACAUAGGUCAACCAAGGGUUAUAACCACUAAUCAUCAAAGAGAAUCUGAAUGACAUAUCCAAAGAGAAGUCCAGGGAAUAAAGGUUUCCAAACCCUUAUGUACUUGGAAAUGUUUUAAGCAAUGAGACUGUGGAAAAUAUCCAUGUAUUUUUAGAACUGAUCUAGACUAAUGUUCAAAACGCACUUGUUGCUUUUAAGCUUAGGGGCAAUAAGAAUCCUCUUGUGAAAUAGGCUUGUGUCCAAAAUUUUUAUUUCAAUAAAAUGCAUUCUUUUGGAGUAAAUAUUCUUUCAUUCUUUUGUUCUUUGGACUAUUUUUUUUUAAAUAUGCUUUCAUUCUUUAUUCAUGAUCAUACAUACAAAUAACUAUCCUUGAAAUUUGCCUUUGUACCUACUGUAGGUCCCCAGAUAUCAAUGACAUGAGCAACGCUGUAACUGACUCCCUUUUGGGGUGAGAUAGGUGUUUAAGCGAAUCUCAAGACUUUGGAGAUGACAAAGAUUAUGACUUAUUUCCUGAUUUGUUAAGGACGGUAGAACAAGAUGAAAAAACUAAUCCUACUUUACGAAGGGUCAAUGGACAUUGUGAACAAGGGGCAAAGAUUGAAACCUGAGUCACCACAGGGACAAAAUAAAUUGUAUUUGAGUUACUUCAAGAAAUUCAAAUAUGUUUUCACAUGAUCAUGUUGAGAUAUAUUUGAGAUAUUAAGAUCUGUGGAUGAUACAAAAUGUCUACACAGUGCCAGAAUGACACAUGUUAAAGGUUUCAUGGUAGCCACGCUAACCAUGAGGUUUGGGUAUUGUUGAUCCACCAUGGAAGAUGAUUGCAUUGGUUAAAGCCACAUUCAUUUCUUCACAGAUUUUCUCUAUAUGGGACAAGGAUGUUAUCAGGCCAUUCUCAUCGAUUCAUCUUGGCAGUCAUUGAUUACUUCACGAAAGGGGUGAAGGUCACUUCAUAUGUCAAUAUUACAAGACUAAUAGUCAUCAAAUCUCAAAAAAAAAGAGAAAAAAAGAAAGAAAAGGGGAUGUGACAAGUAAUGACAGAAAGGAUUACUUUCAAAUACAACUGCGCAAUGUCAAAAGUUUGCAGUCUGUUCAAAGAUCAGACAAUAUAUCACAAUGCAGCAAAGGCAUUCAAAAAGAAAAAACAAAAGUACAAAAAUAGAAAAAAAAAGGAAAAGCAAACAACAGUACAAGGGUCAUAGUGAAAAAUUACUGAGUCUUGUAAGGAUUGGCAUAAAGAAGUUAUCAUUUACCCUCUAUAUUUGUCGAACAUGGGCCUAGACUUUCACCGGGGCAACAUAUUGAUUUAUAGGACUGAAACAGUUUUUGAAAUCGAGAUUCCUUUUCUUCGAGUCUUGGCAGAAUUAAAGUUGGAUGAAUCAUAAUGGGUCCAAUCCUGAUCAGUCAAAUUUAAAAGAUAUUUGUCACAGUCAGAUGAUGCUGGUUUAUCCUCGAGAAUUCCAUGAUGGGAGUUUGAUAUUGAAGAAGAUCCUUCCUAUACAAAAGGACUUCAAAGGAAGAAAUAUGUCAAACUAAGAGGGACCUUAUGUAAAGAAUGCAUGUUUUUGAUUGAAAGGAUUUGCCCAGUUCGAGGAAUUCAAAAUGCAGUCAAAGAGUGUCCUAUGGGAAAGGCCAAGGUGAAAACUCGCAAAGGGCGCCUUGAAACCUUGAAAAAGAAAAAAAUCAAAAUAAAAGAAGAUAAAUAAAAAGAAAGAAAGAAUUAAUCAAAAAAGUUGAAAAAUGAAAGAAAAAGGAGAGGCCAGGGCAAAAACCCGCAAAGGGCGCUUUGAGACCAAAAGGGAUUUGAGUUGAAAACCCGAAAAGGGCGGCUUAAAUUUGGAUUAAAGUGGGGUAUACAAUAGUCUUGCUAUGCCUGAAUUAACAAUGAAAGAAGAAUGUUACGUCUUGGGGCAUUGACAAAGUACUCCGGAUCCCAUAAACACAGAUUGAGCUCAGAAUGGUCCUAAAGAAGUUAGUACAGAGAAGCUCAAGCUGCGAUAUCUGGGGCACUUAGCUUUCCAUUUUUACCCAUUUUUGUUUGUUAUCUUUGAUUACCUUGUUCUUUUCAGGUCACUUCCUAAUAGAUUUCUUUCUUGGUUGCAUUUGCUUGUUUGUUUCGAGCUAUGUUCUCAAUUAAUUCCUUUCUUGUCCAUGGUUAUGAUCUUUUUUCAAGCAUUUGGCAUUGAAAUAACAAUUUUUGGACUAAUAAUACUUUUAUAAAGGAAGUUUCGCAUAUUACUUUGGGGAGUUUCUAAAUAAUACAGGAGCCUGAAAUAGGACUAUUGUUUAAAACUCACCAAGCUUAAGGGUUGAAAAUGUUUAAAGCCCAAAUUGAGAUUAUCUCCUUGGAUUUUCUGUCAAAGAUAUUAAUUGGUGUUAUAAUCCCGACAAAAGAGUGAGCAAUGGAAUUAUUCUUGAGAAAAGAAAAAUGGUAUUCUAUAUUCAUGCAGAUAUCAGGCAUAUACAUCUGUUCAUUAUACCCAGGGAAUGGUGUAACAGAUCAAAUUGAUUGAAGAUCCUAUGCCUCUGAGUUAUAGCAGGAUGGAUAGCAGAAAUCAAAUGAUUAUUCCCCUGAGGUUACAGUGGGAAGUUCAAAUUUUAUGUCCUAGAAGACUACAGUGUAAGGGACUCUGAAAUAACAGUGGGGCAAGCUUGCUGAGCAGAAUGUGAUUGUUUCUUUGGGUUUUCUGUCAAGAAUACCAUCCGAACAAGAUGGCAGCAUAAUAAAUCAAUGAUAAUGCUCUGGUGAACAAUGAGCAAUGAUGCCUUAAGCAUUUUUACCAAGAAAAAGAAAAAAGAAAAGAUCAUUCAAAAAAGAUCAUUUUCAUUUUUUGCAUUCAUAUAUCAUUCAUCACAUCUAGUUAGAUGUAUUUGAUUUAUUUUGAUCAUAGCAUCCUAAUUAUUUGACAUAAGCAUCACAUCUAGUUAGGAGCAUUUGAUUCAUUUUGAUCAUAACAUCCUAAUUAUUUGGCAUAAGCAUGAUACAUGAAACCGAGUCUACAGGACAUGUCCAAGAGAAUGGUGUAGUAAUAUCAGUGAAGUCAGAUCUUAUAUCCUUAAAGUUACAGCAGAAUGGAUCGAAGAUUACAAACCUUAUCUCCUUGAGGUUGCAAUAGAGCAGGUUGAAGUGUCAGUUACAGUAAAGCAAAUCAUAACAAGUCUUAUCUCCCUGAGUUUGCAGUGGAGUAGACUGAAGACUGAAAGAUCUUAUCUCCCUAAGUAGUAGCAGAGCAGACCAAAGAUGGCGAAUCUUAUCUCCAUAUAUCGGCAAUGGAGCAGAUUUUAGCCGCUGACCUUAUCUCUCUAAGGUAGCAAGAGAGCAGGUUGAAAAAUGAGUCUUAUUUUCCUAAGGUAGCAAGGAAGCAGACUGAAUAUUGAAGAUCUUAUCUCCCUAAGCAGUAGCAGAGCAGAUCGAGGAUGGCGAAUCUUAUCUCCAUGUAUCGGCAAUAGAGUAGAUUUUAGUCACUGACCUUAUUUCUCUGAGGUAGCAAGAGAGCAGGUUGAAGAAUGAGUAUUAUCUUCUUAAGGCAGCAAGGAAGUAAACUGAAGAUUGAAAAUCUUAUCUCUCUAAGCAGUAGCAGAGAAGAUCGAGGAUGACGAAUCUUAUCUCUAUGUAUCGGCAAUAGAGCAGAUUUUAGCUAUUGACCUUAUCUCUCUGAGGUAGCAAGAGAGCAGGUUGGCGAUUGUAGUCUUAUCUUCCUGAGGUAGCAAGGAAGCAGACUAAAGAUUGAAGAUAUUAUUUCCCUGAACAGAAAAAGUAGAUCGAAAAAGACAAAUUUUAUCUCCAUGUAUCGGCAAUGGAACAGGUUUAAGCCCCAAGAUUUAUUUCCCUGAAGUUGCAAUGGAGUAGAUUUUAUUACUAGCCUCAUUUCUCUGAGGUAGCAAGAGAGCAGGUUGAAGAAUGAGUCUUAUCUUCCUUAGAUAGCAAGGAAGCAGACUGAGAAUUGAAGAUUUUAUCUCCCUGAGAUUGCAGCGGAGCAGAUCUUCGCAGAUGAUGAAUCUUAUCUCCAUGUAUCGGCAAUGGAGCAGAUUUAAGACACUAGCCUUAUCUCUCUGAGCUAGCAAGAGAGUAAGUUUGCGAUUGUAGUCUUAUCUUCCUAAGGUAGCAAGGAAGCAGACUAAAGUUUGAAGAUCUUAUCUCCCUAAGUAGUUGUGGAGCAGAUCGAGAAUGGCGACUCUUAUCUCCAUGUAUUGGCAAUGGAGCAGAUCUAAGUCAUUAAGCUUAUUUCCCUAAAGUUACAGUCCAGAUUUAGCAAAAUCGGGCAAAAUUGGCCCUAUUUGAAGUCUUUGCUCUAUUCUCGUUGCACGAAAAUGAGCAAAGAGGGGCAGCUGUAAUAGGCCCAUUUCGCCCAGGCCUAUACCAAAACCAAAAUAGAAAAAUAAUAAAACCAAAAUAAUUUAAAAGUCAAGUCCAUUUACAUUUUCCAAUUAACCCAAAUAGACCAGCACCCCAUGGUCCAAAACUAAACCAAAUUUUCAGCAGAAACCCUAAGGUUCCCUUGCGCCGAACAGGUUUCCAACAGCUUCCAGCAUCGCUCCUACCUCCGGCCAGUCCCACGUGCGCCAUCAGUCAGCUGGCUCCAUACCUGCAACAAAUGGAAAUUACAACAGCAAAUGAUAGAUAAUAUAACAGAAUAAUAGCAAACAAAUGAAGGGGGAAAAGGGGAAAUUUGAAAAUUUUGAUUUUGUCUAUAUAAAGCCAAUUGUAUACUGUAAAUAGGGGAUUAUUUUUUUUCCACAGAAAUACAGAAGCAUAUUGAAAGAGAAAUAAAAAUCGAAAAGGUGAUUUCCAGUCUUAUUGUUUUCCUUUUUUUUCUUUUUUUUUUGCGUUUUUCUUCUUUAGGAUUACAUGAAAUUUUAAAACAAAAGAAAGAAGGGGAUUUACAUGAAAUUUUAAAAUAAAAAUAAGGGAUUUACCUUAGUAGUCAAUAACCGUCUUCUUCGUCGCAAUCGAAGCAGGGACGGGAUUUUGAAAUCGAAGCAAAUAGUCUUCGAGGUUUAACCCUCCAUGGCUCCUCUGUGCAUCUUGAGUCACUGAUCAAAACGAAGCAAGAACAUGCAGAUAAGGGGGCUAUGGGGAUCGGCCGAAGGGAGAGGAGUGAAUUAGAGUGCUUCUGUCUUCUCUCUUUUGUUAGUAUUUUAGGUUUUUUUAUUUUUUCCUUUUGUUUUUUAUGAAACAAACAAAAUGGCACCGUUUGAGAAAGGUAAAGGUUUGCGUGAAAACUUGAUUUAGAAGUUGGAUUUGUGCCUUUUUAUUUAAAUGGAUAAUUUUGCAUAUUUGAUCCUUCCUCCUUGCACCGCGUUGUAAUCUGCUCCCAUUUGCAUUUGAUUUGCUUUAUUUUCUUUUAGAUUAUUCCCAAAAUUUGAAGUACUUUUAUGUUUUAGUCCGCAUCUCAACACAAUGUUUCAGGAUCAGGGAUUAUUUCAAUCUUGAUCCCUGUGAAUUCAUGUGUGUUAUAUAUGAGUCUCCAUUAGUAGUUUACUUAUUUUGUAAAUUAUCUUUUUAUUUUACUUUGAUUUCAAUUAAGUAUUUUAUUAGAUUUAUGUUAUAAAUUUGGGUUUAUUCACUCAUAUAUUUUCGGUCCUUUUAUUAAUGUAUGUAUAUUCAUCAUUAUUUUAUUUUCAUUUUUGUUUUUUUUAUUGUUUAUAUUAUUUGUAAUGUUAAUAUUAAUUGUAUUAUUUAUAUUGUUGGUUACUUAUUUGUUGUAAUUUGAAUAAUUGAAGUUCCCCUUGCAUACUAUUUUAUGUAGUGUUUUAUGCGUUAUUAUACAUGUAUAUACCUCAUAAUAAUUGGUUUUAUUCCAUGAAUAUUAUUAACAUUAAAUUAUUAUAUACGUUUAACUAUUUUUUUUCACAUAUUAAUGUUAUAUAUGUAUAUGUUUUUUCAAAAUGAAAUCGCAUGUUGUAUACAUUAAUUAAAUUUUAACUAUACAUAUACAAAAAUUAUUGGUAUAUAUAAUUUAAAUACAUUUUUAAACAUUAGUAUUUUUAUACAUAUAAUUUCUUUUAGAUUUAUUCACAUAUCUUUCUUAUUCAAAAAGAAAAUCUCACAUAUUUUGUGUAUUAUUUAAGUUAUUAUUAAACAUAUAUUUAGAACUUAUAUUUAAUUUGUAUUCAUUAUUAAAGCCAAGAUAUUCUUAUACAUAUAUAUUUUUUAAAUAAACUCACAUAAUGGUGUUUUUAAAAUUAUUAUGUAUAUAAGAUAUGGUUAAUUUUAUAAUUCAUAUUUUAAUUCAAUGAUAUUUUGACAUAUAAUUAUUUCUAACAUUUUUUCACAUGUAUAUGGCACAUAUUAAAUUAUUUUUAUUAUGGUACAUGUUAUUAUUUUCAUAUAAUUUUAUGUAAAUAUUUUUCUAUGUAUAUAUCGUCUUUUAAAAUUAUUUAUGUGUAUAAUAUUUUUAAAAACCCUUUUAAAUCAUAUAAUUUAUUGUAUCUCAUAUUAUCCUUAUGUUUUUUUUCAUAUAUAUAUUUUGUUACUUAUAUAAUUUGUAUAUUUACUUCAUUUUUUUAUACAUUAAUAAUUUCAUUCUUUUUAUCAAUAAUUAUACCCAAUGUUUACUUGUAUAUAAAAGUUUCAGAAAUUUAAUUUGUAUAUUAUUUUAUAUCAUGUAUUGUUAUUCCUUCAUAUUUAAUACACUAUUUAAAUUAUCUUGUGAAUUAUCAAUUUUUGAAUAAAUUUGUGUUUUAAAUAUUUUGUAUAUGAUUUGAUUUGAACUUUGAAAUUUAUAAUAACUAUUUCAAUAAACAUAUAUCCCAAGUUUUAUGCAAAUGUGUCGACUUAUAUAUAUAUCUUAUAUGAUCAUUAAUUCUUCAUUUUGUUUCAUACAUAUUUUUGUACAUCAUUUUAUUUUGUGUUAUGAUCAUGUAUAUUAUUUUUAUAUUAAUUAUUCAUUAUCCAUGCUUAAAGAAAAUUUUUUUGUUACAUUAUACCUAGAAUGAUUGUAAGAUGUAUUAAGCAAGGUUUAUUGUAUUUUGAGUAUAUUAUUUCAUAUUUAUUAUUUUUUACAAUGCAUUAAAUAUUUCAUCAAUUUUAAAAUGAAUAAACAUAUCUUUAAGCAAAUUUCUAAAUUUCUGUUAUUCAAAAAAUCUGAAAUAAGGCAAUAUCUAAUGUUUGGGGUAUUCGAAAAAUCGUGAUCAAUCGUACUGUAUAUGACUUUUCCGGUGAACCAAAUAUUCAGAUAACCCCUUUUAUGAUUUUAAUUUUUUUUUCAAAAGUCAAACAUUGAUUGCAUCUUAAAGGUAUAAGGGAUCGUAUCCAAUCGUACUGGGUAUAAAACUGCAUAUCUUUGGAACGAGAGAUUUUUUACCACUAAUUUGAGCUAUUCAAACAAUUUUUUUUAUAUACUUCGGAAAAUCUUUUCUUUUAAAAUUUUUUAAGGAGCAUCAAAUCAAUUUGGUACCAAUUUUUGGGCGUAAUGAGGGUGCUAACCCUUCUUCAUGCGUAACCGACUCCCGAACCCGUUUUUUUAUUUUACCUAAACCAAAUUUAUUUUUCAUUGAAUAAAGCGUUUUAAUAGAUGGUCCAACACACCUAAAUCAAGAGAUUGGUGGCGACUCCACACUCGGUUUUAAAAGUCGAUCUCCAUUGUUUUCUAAAUAAAAAAGGGUUUCGACAAUGCCAAUAGCAUGUUUUUUAUUUAUUAAACUAUAUGUGCAACUAGUAUGUUCUGAUCAGUUAUGUUAUGUCAUUUUCAUGUGUAUUAGGGUUGGGUUAUGUAUGACUUGGAGGAAGUUCUAAUAGACUACAAUCUGCGAUUCUGGCAGUUUACCCGCAAAUUUUGAUUUGGCAGUUAAACUACAUUCAGCCAAAAGUAUGACCAUUACGAACCAACCACUAAACUAAAAGCACACGAACCUAGCCCUUAGAGAAAAGGUUUCUAAUGCAUUAAGUCACUGGAGGAAUGAGCGCCUCACAAUCCUCACCUAAUACACCAUUAAACCAACUAUCCUCUCAACUUAAACCAAAGCAAACAUCUUUAAAUUAAAAUAAAUGAAUGGAUUAUACUACUUAAAAAAUAAAUUGUGAUACUACCCCAAUUUGAACUGUGUCAUCGAGAGGUGAGUAGUUCUUGUCGACUAGUUAGGUUAGUAGAUGAUUUAGAAGCCCUGCUAGGUUAAUUAGUAACCAACUAUUUAAAACUCUACACCAAUAAUUAAUCAGGUAAAACAAUCGGAUCUAGGCCGAAGGAACUCGCAUAGUAGAAAUAAGGGAUAGAAGAUGAACUUAGGAAUAGAUUUAGGUUUAAUUCAAUUUAUUUGGUUAUUAUUACUAUCAUCUUACUUCUAGAUUAACACUACUAAUUUGUGACUCGAGUAGAUUAGUGAUAAUACUCAAGAAUAACAUAUUUUUAAGUAUUAAUUAUAUUUUAUUUUGAGUAUGAUCCUACUAAUUUGAGCUAUUUAUGGUUUUUUAUCUGGUAGGGAUUAAAUUGAAUGCAAAAGAAAAUUUGGGGGCAAAAAGCGUGAAUUUGAAGCAAAAUGGGCCAACAUGCAAAAUAGAAAAUAAAUGGUGCUGAAAAUGCAAAAUGUGGAAGACUUGAGGGGCAAAAUUUCAAAGAAGAGAUUUAUAAACAUUAGACUUUAUUUAAAUUUGAAUUUUAUUUGGAUUAUUGUUAGGAUUAUUAUUUAGAUUUAUUUCAGCUUUUAUCUUCAUUUAUCCUUUAGAGUUUAAAUAGGAACAAACUUAGUUUUUCAUGUACUAUAAAUAGGAGAUGGAGUGACACAAAUUAACACUCAUCUUUUCUGUAAAAACUCCCUCUUCCUAAAGCUCUUAGCUUUUUGUUCCUUUUUAUUUAUUCAAUAAAAUUCAAUUUUAUUAAACUUAUUUCUUUUUUUCCCCAAAAGCAUAAUCUGCUAAACUCAUCUAGCCAAAAGUUGUCGAGAUUCCUCAAAAAAAGGUUCAUGCAGCUUAGAAUCUGCACUUAGCCUUCUAAACGAGUAUUCGUCGUUUCUCCACAUUAUGGGACUGAUGCUUCCGUCCAUGUCCUUCCAAAAGUGAUUAUUUCAUCUAGAGCAAAGGCGGCCGCUUUGUAUGUUUUGGGAAAGUUGCACAGUUGAUUCGUUAGCUUACUGCGCCAGUGGUUGUCGAGCCCAAGAGAAAAAAUGGCGUGGCAUUCGCCAUUGAGAAAUGAUGAUCUAGUGUAAUAUGGUCCCACAAAAGUGACGGUUGGCUAGAGUCAGGUUCCUCUAAAUCGUAAAUCUAAAAUCUAAGUGGAGCUAGUGGUCGUCCUCUUCCACUAUAACUGGCGUAUUCUAUUCGAGAAGGAUCACCUAAAAGCCUAGGAUUGAACCCAAGAAGGAUCGAGAUAACCGGAGGCUGGAAUCUCUCAAUCCAAGAAUCUUUUUUCUCGACUCUAUUUAUUUUUACAAUUUCAAUUUCAAUUUACAAAAUCUCAAUUCGUCCAUAUUUUUAAUUCUUUUUUUUUCAGGUACGCCUUUUUUGGGCAGGACUGUGCCCGGGAUCUCGAGGAACAAGAAGUUGUGCAAAUCCAAUCCCUGAGGAUUUGACCCUACUUCCCUUAUACGAUUCUUUUCGUUAUUUUAAAGGGAUAGGAUAUUUUUUGUGCUCUCAACAACGCAUCAAUUAGUAGUUAUUUUUAGUAAUUGGCUUAAUAGCAGUUUUUCCCAAACUGCAAUCCCCUGGGGUACGACCCUCGGAAUACUUAUUAAGUGUUUUGUUGUAAACAAACUAUAUUACAAUCUGGCCCGUAUAUUUGUGGACACCAUGUAACGCCCCAAUUUUCUUAUGUUUAGAUCGUUAAAUUAUGUCAAGUAAUUUGAUUUAGUCUGUUGGUUAUGUGCCUUGAAUGUAUGCUUUAGGUCUUGAGUUCGAUUCUCUCGUUUUGGAUUUUUCUUAUUAAUUUUCGCAUUAUGUUAAGCUUGAGCUUUUGGGAUUAACUUUUAUUUUUGUCGGAUUAUUAAUAAGAAUGAGCCUGUUGGUUUAGUGGUAUGGCUUGAACUUACAUAUAGAUAUUGUGUUUGAAUCCCGUUGUGCGCAAAUGUGAAAUAUUUUUUAUUUUGGCUAUUCUUUUGAAGUAGAGUUCAAAUUAAAUUCCAUAAAAUCUGGUGGGUUAAGAUUUGGUUAAAGUUGAAUUACUUUAACUUUUUUUUGAGUUAUCACCCAUAAUUUUACUCCCACUUCCAACCGUCCAAUUUCUCUUAUACCUCUUUCACAUUUCUUUUUCUUCCCAUUUUGUUUUUCUUCUUUCUUUUUCUUUCACUUUCCUUUGAGUUAUCUUUCUUUUCUUUUCUGUUAAUUUUUUAUUUCAAUCAUCCUAUCUUCUAAGAUGUUUGUGUGUGUUACUUGCAAUUUAAUCGUUGUUCAAAGCGUGGUGUAAGUUUUAUCAAGAUAUUUUUCUAUUAUUUUAGCCUUAACUUGUUCUUGAACAAGAUUAGAGUUGUUGAUGUUUAGUUUCCUUUCCAUGUUAUGUUAAGUAUUUUCGUGAUUUUGAUUAGGCGAAGGGUAUGAGAAUCAAAGUCCUCUAGCAAAGUAGUUCUCAUUUGGACGUUGUUUUCUGAGUAGUAAGUACUCAAACCUCACUUUAGGGACUAAAAUUUUGAGAAAAUAAUGUGAUUUUGGAAGGAUAUUUGAUGGUUAAUUGGUGUGAUUUGAUGAUUUAUUGUAUGAUUCAUGAGCUCCUAGUUGUAUGGCUAAUCAAAAAUAUUGUUAGGUGUGUGAAUUAACCCAAAAAACUCGACUGAAACUCGGAAAAAUCCAAAAAUAGGGGUUGUUUUCAAAAUUGCACAGCAUCACACAGUCAUGUGACAGGCCGUGUGACAGGCCGUGUGCACUACACGGUCGUAUUGUAGGCCAUGUGCUAGGCCAUAUGUGAUUACACGGCUUGAAUAAGAAGGUCGUGUGGACCACACAAGCUAGCUUAUUAGGCCGUGUAGGCCAAACAACCAUGUGGGUCCUCUAAACCUAUUUUAAAGGCCCGAUUAGAGGUCAAUUAAGUGACCCAAAAAUUGUAUCCGUGGGCAUUUUGGUAGGCCUAUAAAAGCGGAAAAUUCAAUAUGUUAAACAUGAGUAAGCUUAGAAAGCAUGUUAAGUAAGAUUCACUUUAUAUAAGUUAUGUAUUAUGUUACGCUCUAUAAAUAUAUGUUUAAAAAUGCAUGCCAUGCAACCGAUAUGAUAUGUAUGUAUGUUAACAUGAUUACGUAUAUGCAUUGGGGUGGACUUUGGUAUAGUGGAGGAAGUGUAUUAUGGCAGUUUUAUAGCAAUUUUGGCUAUUAAACCGCAAUUACUGUCUAACAGCUUAGCUAUAUAUUUUGAGUGACAUACCGCUACGUACUGGUAUGAUUGGAUGGAUGGACUCAUGUAGUCCCAAUUGAUGUGAUUGGUUGGACGAAGAUUGUAACACCCCAAAAUAAGGCCUAGAAGUUUUAGGGGUAAUUUAGGAAUUUUACCCUUAGAGUGUUUAGAAUUUUGCGACAUGGUAUACUGAUAAUGUUUUUUACUAUGGUUUUUAGAAAAUUAAAUCAAUUUCUGAAAAUGAGUUUUAAAUACCUUUAAUUUUGAGAAUAGGACUGAUAUGUAAAAGAGUCAAAACUUAGAGUUUUUAAGAGGGAAUUAGACCAGAUUUUCCAACUUACAAACCCCAUUUAUAGUUUUAUUUUCACAUUAGUCGUCUUCUUCUUCUUCUUCUCUCAUACGUGUGCCAUCUAUAGUUCUCCCAACACUCCCGAUCAAUUUUAAAAUCCAAAUCCUAAUUCCUUUUGAUUUUUAUCAUCUCUUUUAAGUUAUAUAUAUUAUUCAAACAUUUGUCGUCAUAUGACAGAAACUAGUAUAUAAAGCAAACGGGUGUGCAAGUUUGAACCACCAAGCAAAAGUACUAAACCUGUACAAAUUUAGUAAGCAACCAAAAGGUAAGAAACUAACUAUCAUGGCUGCCAGUUUAGCUUUACCAUAUGCAGAAACUAACUAUCAUGGCUGCCAGUUUAGCUUUACCAUAUGCAGCAGGCAUCCCAGCUUCAGCACGCCAGCAGCGUCGUAGAAGCAUGGUGAUCAAGGCACAGAAAACCAGUAUCAUGGCCAACCAC
rnacentral:lncRNA from 1 species